AAACUUUAAUAAGACCAUAACAAUGCUAAGCAAAGCUUGUAAUCAAAUUCAAAGAAAUCUCAAAGGAAUUACAAAGAAAUAAUAAGAAAUCUUAAAGAAAUAUUAGAAUGAUCACAAAUAUAUCUCAAUUCAAUCUUAAUUUAAUCUUAGUUAAAAUCCUAUUAGACUUUAUUCAAACUUUAGGCCAAAAACUAACUAAAUAUUAAAUACUAAACAAAUCUUAAUAAAAUCCUAAAUCCUAAACCAAAUCCUAACCAAAUCCUAAAUCAAAUCCUAAUCAAAUUCUAAAUCCUAAAUCAAACCCUAACCAAAUCUUAAAUCCUAUAUCAAAUCCUAAAUCCUAAAACAAAGCCUAACCAAACCUUAAAUUCUUAAUCAAAUUCUAAAUCCUAAACUAAAUCCUAAUUCCUUAACCAAACCCUAAAUCCUAAACCAAAUCCUAAUCAAAUCUUAAAUCCUAAACCAAAUCCUAAUCAAAUCCUAAAUCCUAAACCAAAUACUAAUUCUAAAUCAAAACCUAAUCAAACUCUAAUUCUAAAUCAAAUCCUAACCAAAUCUUAAUCCUUAAUAAAAUUCUAAUCAAAUCAUAAAGCCUAAACCAAAUCCUAAAUCCUAAAACAAAUCCUAAGCAAACCCUAGUAAUUUCUACAACAAAAUUAAACCUCAAUAACUAAUGAAUGAACCAUCGAUCUUAACUUAAAUUUUUCACACUUCUUUAAAAUUAAGUUGAAAAUAAGCACAAGAAAUUUGAAAAGGAUCGGAAUUAUCAAAUAGACAAUAAACCCAAACAUGUGCUCGGGUAUUGGCCAGCCUCCUUCUCCAACCUUGAUACUAAUCUUUCAAAGCCAAUAUCUUUAUUUUUCACAAUUUGAUUGAUUUUAAAAUUCUCACACACAUAGAAAAACAAGUCCAAUAUCUUCAUACAUAAAUUUCACUCCAAUCCAACUAGUAGAUUGUAAGAAAUCUUAAAAAUUGUUACUAGACUUAAAAUUCUACUUUCUAAGACCUUGAUUCACUUAAACCUCAAUUACCCUCAUUUCAACUGUUAGAUCGAGCUAACAUUCAAAAUACAUAUGAAGCGCAACUAUAACCAUUAAUCUACAAAAUUUCAUUCAUAGAUCUAUUACAAAAUGCUUGAAGUCACUAGAAAUAUCAACCCUAUUUUAUUUUAUAAAAUCCAAGUCACCUGAAAACAAUCUUGACUUUGUAAAGCUCUUACAAAGUCAUUACAACUCCAAAUUGCCAAAUUCUAAUGCUUAUAGAAACCUUAUUGAGUUUGGUAUCAAAACCUACUCUUCAAUUUGCAAAAGAAUCCCGGAGUUGUCGUCGAGACUCGGUUUUGUGCCUCAAGGUCUGAUUUCGACCUUGGUUCAUAAUCUGCCCUCUCCGGGUAUCAAUAUGUAGUUUUUCUACGUAAAUUUUGCUAGAAUUUACUAUUAACUUCUUUCUUAAGAUGCAUAUAUUAUUCAUUUUUCCAAUAUACUUUGUUUUGCCUUAUUUAUGGUCCUACAAAGUAAGUAGAAGUUACCUUUCUAAAAAUGCAGCAUUGGUACCUUUUAGUUUUACUACCCUUUUGACUAUUAACUAUAUUUCUAAGAUAAUUUGCUCUAAUACUUUGAACUAACAUAUCCUAUAUUAUAAUAAUUUCCACACUCUUUUAUCUAUUUGUCGUGUUACAUCACGACAGCAUAAAAAUGUAUUAAGACAUGCAAUAUAUGUCAACAGUAUGCUAAGAAUGACUUAAAGAUGAGUUUUUCUUUCUUUAUGUGCUUACUUUUAGUUUUCUUUGAAAAAUAGGAAAAUGAUUAUAUUAGAGAGGUUCAUCUUAAUUUCAAUAGUGGUAUAAAAUGCAUAGUAGUAGCAACCAAAUACUUGACUAAGUGUGUUGAGGCAAAAACAGUUAAUGCCAACUAUGCCAAACAAGGUACCAAAUUUCUCUAUGAAUAAAUCAUCAUUAGAUUUGGAUGUCCAAAAAUCCUAAUUAGUGAUAGAAGCAAGUAUUUCUUAAAUGAAGUAAUAGAAUUUUUGACCUUUCGAUCUAAAAUUGAUUAUAGAAAAACUACUCCUUAUCACCGUCAAAUAAAUGAAUAUACAGAAAGGGUAAAUCAAACCUUGGUCAAUAUUCUUAGAAAAAUUGUCACAAUAUCUAAAAGAGAUUGAAAUACAAAGCUCCCUGUAGCCUUGUGGGCUUAUAGAACAACGUUUAAAGUGACAACCCAAGAAACUCCAUUUUCCUUGGUUUUUGGCAUAGAAGCUAUUUUAUCAAUUGAAUUUGAAAUUCCAUCCCUUUGAAUUGCCUUGAAAGAAAGAUUUUCAACUAAACAAUCAUUAAUUGAUAGAUUAGAGUGAUUAAAAGGUCUAGAUGAUACCAAAAGAUAGAGUGCUCAAUAUAUGAUGGCCAUUCAAAGAAGAAGAAAAAUUACCUUUGAUAAAAGACAUAAAGUUAAAAUCCUUGAGCUUGGCGUGUUAGUUCUCUUACAAGAUGCUAGGAGAUUAGAUUUUCUAGGAAAAUUUGAGGCCGUUGUUGUAUUACGUGCUUUCCUGCUCGACAAUGCACUGGACGUUUGGCUGUAGAAGGUAGUAUGGAGAUUCGCUAAUAUUCAAGCAGUCUAUCAGUUUUUGACUGUUGAAAUAUAAACAACUAUAAGAAUAUACCGUAAACCUAUACGGACGUCCUUCGACUGCUCGCCAAAAUCCUUUUUGCCCCAGCCGAUAGGUCUCUAGACGUUACAGAGAACCCCGAACAACCCAAACUGCUAAUCUUCGAUACCGCUUUAUACUCACGACCUUGUAUCCACUGACUAUCUUGUUAGAUUAACCCAAUAAAUUUCAUUCAUUCCGCAUACUCAAUCCUAUAGAUAUCCUUUUAAUUCUUCAAUCACAGACGUAACUUUGAUUUUACAAAAACAGUCAAGAAUAAUCACACCCAUUUCAUUAAAAAUCCCGAUUCACCAGUACAACACUGACUUCAGCAAUGAUUGCCUCAAUCUUCCCAAAAUCCUAUGAAGAAAAAAAAACCCCAAUUCUCUGUCUUUUUUCCCCUUCCCGAAGCAUGAAGCUAGCUCUCCGAUCCUUCUCCCAAAAAACUUCCUCCUCCCAAAAAUCCUAUUGCCACCCCUUCAUUUCUUAACCUAUCCUCCUUUUUAACCCUAAUUCUCCCCUCUUUCAAAGCCUAGCCUCUGAAUUUCUUCAAUCUUCCAUCUUGGAUCCGGAAUUGGCUCCACCGUAAGAGUUCUCUCCUCCAUUUUUACCUUUAAGAGAUCCUUUUACUGAAAACAAUGUUCCCUGAAAUGGCACAGAGAACAGGACAACCUGAAACAGAAUCGAAAUCCCGUAAUCGGGACCACAUUGAAUCGCCCAACCAAUUCAAGUCUCAUAUUGGCUAAGAGGCCUGUAGUAAGACCUGGAUGUUCCCGUAAUUGGACCGCAUUGGGUUGCCCGACCAAGUCAGGUCUCAUAUUGGGUAAGAGGCCCGUAGUAAGACCUGGAUUGGAUGUCUUGAAAUUGGAUCCAAUUGGCUCUUCGAACCAGGCUCAUCCAUCGUUGAAUUGGUCCUUUCCCUUUCUGCUGACUCCCGUUAUUGGAAUCAAAUGGAGCAUUUCAGUAUGCCCCGGCUGACUGUAACGGGGUGACUGAACCUGGCCUUAGUAUUUGCACUGGAGUUGGUGGUUGCUCCCAAUAUUCGAGAUAACUGAACAUUAAUAAAAGUCCCCUUUCUUUAUAUUUUCACGGUAUACUCGUGUUACAACACAAUACCAUAUGGUUAAGCCCUUACUUAGUUAAAGAAGUCUUUUUAAAUAACUCAGUUUGGCUACAAAUACUUAACAGGAAAGAUUUUUCUACUAGAAUAUUUAAAAAUAGAUGUAAAGAAUAUACAAUGUGAUUUUUAUCAUAUACAAAGUCAAAUGGCUCAUCCUCAAAUUUAUCCUUAUAGAAUCCCUCAAAUGGAAAAUUAUCAAAUUUAGGUGGAAUUUAGAAGCUAAACCAUUGGAAUUCAAGAUAAACAAUAGUCAUAUUCAUUUGUUUUGUCUUCUUUUCAAUUUAGUUCCUUCACCAAAAAAUUAGAGAUAUUCUAAGUAAAAGAGACAAGUACUUUAUGAAACUUUUAUAAAAAUAAAUAAAUAAAUAAAUAAAAAUAUAUAUUAUUAUUAUUAUUAAGAAUUGAAAGAACAUUUCUUAAUAAACAUCUAAAGCGCAUAGAGAUUGUCAAUUGACUGUCUCGAAUUCGAAUUUGGUUAGAAAAAAAUGGACUAUUCCAAUGAGCUAGUAUUAAUAUAGGAAAAGACCAACUUUGAUAUCCAAAAAAUUUAUGGACCUUAGAAGGUUGAUUGUAAAAUCCUCUCAUAUUAAAGAGGAAUCUAAAAAGAUCACUUUUUUAUUUCUUUGCUUUGAUUUCUUUUUAUAUAUAUAUAAUCAUUAAGUCCUAGGUUAGAUUUGAUUUUCUUUGUUUUCUUUGUAUAGAUCUAUAGAAAAAAACCUACUUUAAUUCUUUUAGAUUGGAAGAAAAUCAUUCAUCCUCAUCUUGAAUAGUUGUUAAAAUUCUUUUGUCAACAAUUACUCUUUUUAUUCGAUAGUAUUUUGAAAGGUAAAUUCUAGGUUCUUCUUGUUUGUAAGUUGUCCCAAAUGGUUGCCAUGUGUGAGUCAUCAAAUUGACUCACUUUUUUUUUUAGGAUAAAAAUAUAUAUUUAGAAUGCUUUAAAUCAUAAUAUAUAGUGAGUAGUAUAGAAAUCCUUAAAGAAAUAGAAAAUUAAAAUGUUAGUGGUGGAAAUGAGUCUUAGUAAGUCUUAGAAGCAAUUAUCUUCAUUGGUUUGGUAUUUUUAUUCAUUGUUGAAUAUUAAGAAUUAUUAUUAAGAAUAUUAUUUAUAUUGGUCUUCUCUCUAUAUGUAGUACUUAUAAAAACUAUAAAUUUUUGUAGUUAGAAGAAGUAUGAGAAAGAACCUUAUAUCAUUUUAAUUAUUGGUAUAAAAAAUAGGAUUUAUAGUAGAUUUAAAUUGAUUUUUAUUAGUAUCAAAAAUCACCAAGGUAGGUAAAUUUAGCUUUAGAUAGAUAUUACUAUUAUAGAAAUAUUAUAGGAUUUAUUUAGAAUUUAUUUAGAAUUUAUUUAGGAAUUUUUAGAGCAAUUUUCAAGAUCUUGGUAAAAAUGAGUUUUAUCACUUUGGGAGCCUCUAUGAAGAAAUGGAACAAGAUUUGAAGGUCACAGAAGGUUUCUAUACUAAUUGGGUGUUUUUGAAUACUAUGGUGAGGUCGAAUUUUCAAAAAUAAUGGUCUUUCUAGUAGAAAAUAAGAAGACUAGCAGCUAGUCCUUAUAAGAAGGAGGGUGCAUAAGUCCCAUAUGGAUUGUAGCACUUUGAAGGUAGUUAGGAGGAUAAGACUAAGGCCUCAAGGCCUCUCUUUAAUACCCUUAUAUACUACAUGUGAGCCUUGGUGAGGUUCGAACCCUUGAUCUAUAAGAAAAUUAUCUUUAAGAAUAAAAUAUUUUUACUUCACUUUUCAAUUAUUUACUUCAUAUCUUUAAAACCUCAUAACUUACUCAUAGUAAUUCGGAUUUACAUGUUUCUUAUGUCAUUGGAAAGACAAUGAAAUUACCUAUUUAAAAAUAUAUUUUUUACUUUUCAAUUUUUCUUUUUACCAGGUAAAAAUAUAGUGAACAGAAUAUGACUUAGUUUUGGGUGUUGUAAUUGCUUCAUGUCAUUUAUUUCAAUUGCUUUGUAGUUGUUCUUCUUUUGUUCUUGUUAAUUACCUACUUCACUUCACACUGCCAAUUACAAGCAACUCUUAAUUGAAGCAAUCUUGUAACUUAGAUUGAGGAGUGAAAAUUUAAAUUCACAAUAUGAUAGAAGCUCUUGCUUAGAAUUUUAAAUAGCAUAUAAAGUUCUUGGACUAGUAUUUAGUAAUGUAUUCUUUGAGUGAAGCCAAUUGAUUUUUUAAUAAGCUAUAAAUUGGUCUAAAUAUUAGUUGAGCUCCUUCUUAAAGAUCAAUUGAUUAAUUAUAAAAAUAAUUUUUUAAAAUAUAUUUAUAUUUAUUUUCUUAAAUAUAUCUUGAUAAUAUUUAUACUAGAUUGGAAUGCCACUUGAAGUCUUUUUACUAUUAGAAAUAGAUAUAAUAUUGAUGACAAUAGAUGAUUCUUCUUUUGCCACAUGCAUGAAGGUUCUUACACUACAAAUAAGGAUUUGAUUGUAUUAGAUUUAUAAAUUUUUAUUUAGUUAUCAAAAUCUUGGUUAUGGUAUAAAAAUGUUAAUAUUAUAAAAAAUCCAAUAUAUAUGAGGAUUAUACUUUUUAACCAUAAUAAACCUAAAAUCAAUAGAUUUAAAGAAAAAUUUAAAAUAUUAAAUACUUCUGAGCUAUUAUUACUAUUUUUUAUCAUAUUUAUAAGAAUAUGUUUAUGUGUAACAUCUCUAAAAGAUAAAAAUUGACAAUCUAUGACUUUUAUAUGGAUAGAAUUAAUUAUUUUUAAAGAUAUUAUUAUUUUUUUAAUAAAAGUUUUAUUUAAUAAACAAACUAAUAUUCUUUAAUCUAAUAAAGCAAAGGCUUUGUAAUUUUGAGGUCAUAAAAAAAUAUCUAUUAUAAAAUAAGGUGAUGGUUUUGAAAAAAGAAUAAGACCUUUGGUAGGUAUUGUAUAAGAUUUCAAUCACAUGAUUUCUAUUAUAACUAAAAAUACUUCUUUUUUGUCACAUUAUAUUUUUAAACAACCAUGCUUCUAAAUUUGUGGUUUUAUUGUUUCUUUGUAUAAUAUUAAGUAAUAAUAUAAGAAAAAUUCUUCUUAAUAACAUCAAGCAUUUUCUUACUUAUUAAUAGACUUAAAAUAUUUUGCAUCAAUUUACAUGUCUUCUACUUUCAAAUAUAUACAUUGAGAAGAUGUAUUUAUUGCCAUUAAAUUGUAAAGAUGUUAAAAUACAUAUGCAUCGCUCUUAAAUCAAAAUUUUGAAAAGUCAAUUAUCAUACUUUAUAUCAAAAUUAAUUGGUUUUAAUUUUGGAGGAUCAAAUAAAUUAAACAUCAAUUUUAUUACCUCAUAUUGCAAUAUUUAAAAACAUUGUUGGAUAAUCCAGCAUCAAAUUAUUUAAUAUUAAAUAUAAUUUGUUGAAAUUAUAAAAUAUAUGGUGAUACUAAAAAAUUAUUUUAAUAAAAAAUAUAAAACUUAUUAUUUAUAAUAUAUGAGUGUAAAAUUCACUUAGUAACCCAAUUACAAGAUGGCGUCAAUUAAAAGUUUCUUUGUAUAGGUGGUGUGAAGUGAAAGUAGCAAGAACAAGAAUAAAAUAAGCAAAAAACAAAACAAGUGGAACAAGUGCAAUCGAGCAAUUUUACACUACAAAACUAGUCACAAUCUGUUCACUGAAUUUUUAUCCAAUAAAAAGUAAAAAAUAAAUUUAAAAAAUAUUUUUUUAGAAAUUCAUUUUUUUUGUCUUUCCAAUGGUAUAAGGAACAUGUAAAUCCGAGUUAGUAUGAAUAAGUUAUGAAGGUUUGAAAAUAACAAGUAAAUAAAUAAAAUGUUAAGUAAAUAAAUUUUACGUCAAGGAUAAUUUGCUCAAGAGAUCAAGAGUUCGAGCCUCACUAAGGCUCACAAAUAGUUAUAUGGAUUGUCUAAAGAGGCCCUGAGGCCUUAGUCUUAUCUUCUAACCUAUACCCAAGGUGCUACAAUCCAUAUGGAAUUUGUACACCUCUCUUCCUACAAGGACUAGACUAGCUACUCGUCCUCCAAUUUCCAACUGGUAAAACUCAUCUUUUUAUAUUUUUGACUUUACUAUGGUAUUUAAAAAUACUCUAAUAGCCUAAGAACCUUGUAUGGCCUUCUAAUCUUGCUUCACUUCUUCAUAAUGGAUCCCAAAGUGGUAAAAUUCAUUUUUACCAAAGUCUUGGAAAUUAUUCUAAAAAUUCCUAAAAGCUUCUAAAUAAAUUCUAAAUAAAUUCUAAAAAUCCCUAUAAUGGUUCUAUAAUAUUAAUAUUAAUUGAAGGCUAUGAUUUCCUAACUUGAUGAUUUUUAUAGUAAUAAAAUUAAUUUAAAUCUACUAUAAAUCCUUCUUUAUAUAUAACUAACUAAUAAGACAUGAGGUUUUUUUUCAUGCUUCUUUUAACUACUAACUAAAAUUUAUAGUUUUUUAUUUUUUAUUUUUUAUAAGUAAUAUGUAUAGAUAGAAGGCUAAUAGAAAUAUUGACCUUAAUAACUAAUCCUCAUUACUCAACAAUAAGUAAAAAUCCUAAAUCAACUAAAAUAAUUGCCUCCAAGGUUUACUAAGACUUCAUUUUUUCUCUACUAAUAAUAUUUUCCUUCAUUUAACAUUCUCUAAGCACAUCUUCACCCAAAAAUUGUAAUUUUGGCACUCUACAUACAUUCUUUUGUCCUAAAAUAAGUAAUGAGUCAUUUUGAUGAGUCACAUAAUACAUAUUACAUCAUGUUCUUUAUUUAUGGAUCAAAACAUUUUUCAAAAAAAUACUCCAAAUUAUCUAAUAUUUAAUCAUGUUGUUCUAAAAAAGAUAAAAAAUUAUAAUAAAACUUAAUUUAAAAUGAAUAUUUUAAUACAUCUAACUUAUGAUUCUAAAAUUAAAUAAAUUUGAUGUUAAAGCUCAAUCAUUUAUUAUACUUGAUUGUUGAUUCUUUAAAAAUUUGAUCUUAUAUCAUUAAACUUUUUGAAGAAGGCAAAUCUUGAUUUUUUAAUACUUGAACAAUGUUUCAUAAAAAUAGAAAUAGUAUGAUUUGAUGUAGAUAUUGAAGGAGCUUGAAUUAUCUCUAUAUCUUUACUUCCAAUGAACUUUGUUAUUCUUUAUGGUAGUGAAUUGAGGUUAUAUAUUGUAAUUAUUAAUUAUCUUAUUUUCUUAUCAAUUUUUGAUAUUUCAUACUUCAUUCUAAUAAGAUUUUUUGUAAUAACAUAAUAAAAAAAAGGUGUCUAAUAUCACUUGAAAAAAAUUGAAGAAAAGUCUAAAGAAUAAAGACAAACUAAGAAAAAUAUAAAUUUAGAAAUAGAUAAUCUACAACUUCUAAUAAACUUGUAUCAUAUCAAAAUAAAUAAAUAAUUUAUUAUUAAUCAAAAAAAUAUUAAUUUUUAAUAUUAUAAUUAUAUUAUUGUUAAGAUAUUAAGGAUAAAAUUUUAAAGAGUAGCUAUUGCCAAAAACAAAAAAACUAAAAACUCUUAAAACUAGAUUAGAAAUAAGAAAAGAGUUCAUAAAAGUUGUGGAGGUAAAUUUCACCUCUCAACUUAAAUUACAAGAUAAAAUCAAUUAAUAAUUGCUUGUAAUUGGUAGUAUGAAGUGGAAGCAAUUAGAACAAGAACAAAAGAAGCACAACACAAAACAAGUGAAACAAGUGCAAUCAAGCAAUUAUACACUACAAAAUUAGUUAUAAUUUUUUUAUAGAAUUUUUUUAAUAAAAUAUAAAAAUUAAAAAUUAAAAAUUUAUUUUUAGAAAUAUAAUUUUUUUUUAUCUUUUUAAUGGUAUAAAAAACAUAUAAAUCCGAAUAACUAUGAAUAAAUUAUAAAGGUUUAAAAAUAAUACGUAAAUAAAUAAAAAAUCAAGUAAAUAAAUUUUAUCUCAAGGAUAACUUUCUUAAGAGAUCAAGAGUUUGAGCCUAUCUAAGGCUCACAUAUAGUUUAUAUGGUUGUUAUCUUUCUACCUAUAUCUAAGGUCUUAGUCUUAUUGUAGAAGGAUUAGAAAUUAUUUUUGUAAGAUAUUGGUAAAGUAGAUUAAUCAUUUCUAAGAUAGUCAAUUCAGUAGGACAGGUGAUUGAAUUAGUUAUGAAAAAUAGUUAAGGAAGGAAUGAUAGUUAGAACCUGGAAUUUCAGAAGUAAAGCAUAACUAAGUUAAAGAAGAUAUUUUAAGGGAAAAUUGUGAUAGUCAUGAACCGGGGUAAGCUUAAUGCUACCUCUUUGUUUCUUUGUUGUUGAAGAGUAAUAGUUAGUUUUUGAAUAUUGAGAAGUGAAUCUAUGAAAUAAAUCAGAGAUUGAUUUAUGAGUUUUUGAUUAUGUAAUUGGAGUACUAUGUAUUUGAAUUAUAUGAGAAGUUAUUAGAAGAUUGAUUAUGGAUGGAAGAUUAUGAUUGUCGUUUAUUGAAAGUUGUGUAUAUUUUGACAAAGGACGUCUGUGAUUAUAGAAAUUAUGUGAAUCCAGAUUGGUUGGAGUGAAGUCUAUUAUUUUUGGUGUUGGAUGAAAUUUGUGUGUUUUGAACAAUCUUUUGAGAAUGCAGGAUUGCACAUUGUUGUUAUCAGUUAAUAAAGGAAUAUUGUUACUAGGAGAAAGCAUUGUAGUAUUUCUUGGUGUUUUAGUAGUUCAAAUUACGAUUAAUUGUGUGAUCCUAAUAUAUAAGUUCAUACAAUAGUCUUUCUUUGUGUUCGAAUCCUCCUUUAUGAAUUUAUUCACAAAAAAAUUUGUAGAAUAAGUAAAACGAUAACCACAUUUUGGUGCCUUUGUUGGGAAAUGACAAUAGUAUUGAGUGUUAGGAAUUAGCGGCCAAAUGAGUAGUUUUGGAUGUUGCACGAAGAGGUUAUAAAAUUGAAAUUGGUUCAAAAGUGAAGAAAAUUGUGUAAUUAGAUGGGAGAUAGGAAGAAAAUUUAACAAUAUAUAAUGAAAGAUUAUGGUUAUUAAAAAUAAAAACAUUGCAGUAAAGAAAACACGUCACUCAAAAAAAAAACAAGAGAGAGCGUUGUCGUGUUGUGGUUCGGCUAUUACAUGAAAAUAAUGUAAUUAUGUACUUAAUAAAAUUUUUAAUAAUUUAUUAAGUAACAUGAUGAGAGCUAUAUUGGUAGAUUUUAGUUGAUUGUAGAAUAUAAUUUGAUUAUUAACUUGAGAAGAGGUUGUUUAAAAAGAUUACUAUAAAAUUUGUAUAACUUUAAUUUCUUUUGAUAGUAGGUUUUAAGAUUGGUUUUGGUUGAUAAUAACUUCUAAAUAUUAAGAAUCACCUUUGUUAGAUAUUGGUGACAUUUGAAAACUUAUUUUGGUACUUUUAUUUGGUAUUUAGAGUAUAAAUUAUAUAAAUCUUAUAAGAAAAAGGAUUGAAGAAGGGUUUUGGUAGCAAAGGGAGUAAUUAAGGUACCAAUAUAGAUGAAUGGAGAUAGAUGAUGAAAAUCUCCAUUCAUAUUGGUCAAAAAUCAUGACCAAUAGGCUUUGAGGAGGCUGCCCGAGGCCAUAUUAGGGAUUAGGAUUAGUUUUUCGAAGCCAUUGGAGCUUUGAAGGCUAGGAUAAACAAGUUUAGGUUUUUGGCUAUGAUUUUGGUACAAAUUUUGUAUGGUUUGGAGUUUAUAUGAAGGAAAUAUAGGCUCUCAAAGUUAAGGUGUUGAUUUGAGAGCUAUUAUCACUCUUUUUGGCAUAACGCACACGUACGAAUGACAAUUGUAGUUUGGUGAUUGCGACUAAAGAGACUACUUUUGUAGCCACACUUUUUGGACACCACUUGCUGGAUUCCAAGUUGAAGUAAAGGAGUUAUUGGAUUUUGAAGUUAGCACAUGCAAUCUAAAGAUAGUAAGUGACCCAAUUUACUAGUCGUUGUGUCUUGAGCUAUAUCUUGAGCAAUGUGACAAGAUUUUGGCUCAAAAUUUCAGGAAAUAUGUACAUUCAUAUUAAUAAAAAAUUUAUGAAAGUUUGAUGAUAUUUGAAUAUUGGAUUCUUGAGAUAUUAAGAAAAUAGUGCUCAUGUACUUGUAAAUUAGGGUUUAGAGCAUCUGCUAGGAUUUCUUAGAUGCCAAAAGAUUGGAAGUGAAUUUAUAGUUGGUUUUAUUUUGAUAAAAGCUAAGGGUAAAUUCUAACUAUCUUAUAAAUUGUAGACAAAUUGAAUAGUUAGAUCAAGAGUUAUGAAUUUCUAAAGUUUAAGAAGAAAAAAUCCUUCGUGGAAAAAAUAUGUUUUGAAGGGAUUUUAUUAUAUUUUGAGUUUUAUACAAAAUAAAGGAGUUUUGGAAGCUAAGAAAAGGUUUAAGCUACAUUCUCUACAACAAGAUAUCUAGUGUAUUUCCAAAUAGCAAAUCACACUAUAUGACAGCAUAAGCAAGAGAAUUCUAACGAAAUGAACAAAAACACAAGUUAAAAAAGAAGCAUUAACAAAGUUGGAUUAAGCCAUGGUUGCAUGCUUGUCAACAUAUCCAAGCAUAUUCAAAAGUUAACCGACCUCUAAUAUUUUAGAUAUAUAUACCAAUAAUAAAAUUUUCAAGUUAUAUAUCUAAAUAACUAUGAAUAAGUUAUAAAGGUUUAAAAAUAACAAGUAAAUAAAUAAAAAAUUAAGUGAAUAAAUUUUAUCUUAAGAAUAACUUCCUUAAGAGAUCAAAAGUUCGAGCCUAUCCAAGGCUCACAAAUAAUUUAUAUGGUUGUUAUCUUUCUACCUAUAUCUGAGGUCUUACUUUUAUCUUUCUAUCUAUAUUUAAGAUCUUAGACUUAUCUUCUUUCCUAUACCUAAGGUGCUGCAAUCCAUAUAGGACUUGUGCACCUUCUUUUCUACAAGGACUAGACUAGGUGCUGGUCCUCCUAUUUUCUACUAAUAAAACUAAUAUUUUUAUAUUUUUUACUUUAUCAUGGUAUUAAAAAACAUCCAAUUAGCCUAAGAAUCUCGUGUGGCCUUCAAAUCUUACUUUAUUUCUUCAUAAUGGCUUGCAAAUUAGUAAAACUUAUUUUUAUCAAAGUCUUGAAAACUACUCUAAAAAUUCCUUAAAAAUUCUAAAUAAAUUUUAAAUAAACUAUAAAAAUUCUUAUAAUUUUUUUAUAAUAUUAUUAUAAAUUUAAAGCUAUAUUUUCUUAUCUUAAUUAUUUUUUAUAGUAAUAAAAUAAAUCUAAAUAAGCUAUAAAUCCUAUUUUUUAUAUAAUUAAUUAAAAAUACACGAGGUUCUUUUUCAUACUUCUUCCAACUACUAACUACCAUUUAUAAUUUUUUAUAAUUAAUAUAUAUAUAUAUAUAUAUAUAUAUAUAUAAAGUAAAUAUAAAUAUUGAUUUUAAUAAAUAAUUCUUAAUAUUCAAUAAUAAGUAUAAAUACUAAAUCAACUAAGAUGAUUGCUACCAUGACUUAUUAAGAUUCUAUUUUUAAAAUUAAUAUUUUAAUUUUCUAUUUGUAUGAGGAGUUCUAUACUAUUUAUUAUAUAUUAUGAUUUUAAGCACUUUAAAUGUAUCUUUUUAUCCUAAAACAACUAGUGAGUCGAUUUGAUGACUCUUAAAAGUAAAGAAGAUCUUACUCUUGCCUCUAUAUAUAUUAUCUAACUAACGAGCUACCUAUCAAUAUUUUAUAGAUAAUUUGAUAACCUUUGGAACAUGUAUCAAAAUUAUAAAAUAAAUUUUUAAAAUAUUUGCAACAUUGUCAAUGUGUAUAAAAAGAGGCCAAUUUCCAAAGCAAAUAGUCAAUAUGUACAACAUGUGGCCAACUUCUAAGCCAAGUUAUGAACCAAUCAUUUACCUAAAAAUACUUAAAAAUCCAAAUCCUUAUUUAUGAAGCUUCUCUAUAAGGGAUUAUCAAUUUUAUCAAUUUUUAUUUAUUUCUACUUAACUACUCUUAACUAGUAUUAAUAUGUAUGUCUAUAACAUCAAAUAAGAUUAGAACAUGAAGAGAAAAAGAUUGAAAGAAAAAACAUGAACUUGACUUUUGAAUUUAUUAAGAAUAAUAUAACUUUAGUACAUAAUAUUAGAUGCAAAUUUGGCUUAUUCUUUUAUUACUAAAUUAUUUUGUAAAAAAUCAAGUAAAAAAUUAUCUCAUUAAUCUAAUCUCAAUCAAAAUUAAAUUAUAAAUAUAUAUAUAUAUAUAUAUAUAUAUAUAUAUAUAUAUANNNNNNNNNNNNNNNNNNNNNNNNNNNNNNNNNNNNNNNNNNNNNNNNNNNNNNNNNNNNNNNNNNNNNNNNNNNNNNNNNNNNNNNNNNNNNNNNNNNNAAAAUAAAAUUAAGAUGUUUUGAUUAAAUUAAAUAGUAUUGAAUUAUAUUAAGUAUAUAUAGAUAUUAGUCUAUGAAAAAGGUAAUAAUACUAUGAUUCUUAAAUAAAGUAACUUAAGACUAUAAAUUGAAGGUUAAAAUCAAAAAUUUGGAUAAUAAAUAUGCUAUAUUUAAAAAUAAUAAUUUUAAUAAAAUUUGAUAAAUAAAGAAUAAAAAAUUUGAAAUAUUAAAAUAAUAUUUAUAAUUUAUUUUUUAAUGAUAUUUAUUAUAUUCUCACAAAAUUUCAUGUAACCUUCUAUCGCUUCAGGAAGCAAGUAGUGUAGCUAUGGUACAAGCUAAUAAUGUUAUUGAAAUCAUACUUUAUAAUUAAAGAAUAUGUUAAAUUUAUUUUCAUCAUUCACUUGUAUUUCUCUAAAGAAAUUUGUAGCUCAAAAGAAGAAACUUCCAUUCAAAAAACCAAUCUAUAUCAAACCUAUUUAUAUUCUAAAAGUUUAUAGCUUUUUUAUUGUUUUUAUUUUUUUUCAAAAACAUUAAUAAUUGUUGGUAUUUGGAUCAAAGACCUAAAGUUUCUUUGUAUUAAGAAAGGUAUUGAAUAUUUUUUUAUAGUAUCAACAUAUCAUAUUUAUGUGAUUUAUUAUGCUUCAUCAUUUGAUAGAAACCUUGACUUAUUUGUCGUUUAAUUUUUCUCUUUUAUUCUAUUUUUUAUCUUUUUUAGUUAAUUUGUGUAAAUUUCUUAUUAGUAGUACUUACAAUGAUAUGAUUUACUCUUUUUAGAUCAUCUUUUGCAUCAACUUUUUGAUAUUGCAAUGAAUCCACCUAAUAUUUUUUGCAAUAUUAUUUUGUCAUUGUAAUAAAACCUAGGAUUCUUUAAACAUUAAGAUUUAAAAUGCAAUCUUUUAUGUAUGUUGAAAAUAUUGUUGUAAAGUUUAUUAAAUGAUUGCAAUUUCUAUAAGUACAUUGCAUGGUUAAAUUGGUGCACAUUAUCUUUGACUUCUUCAUCUAUUUUUAUAAUUUUUCAUUUCUUGACUUUUAAUUUUAAUUUAUUUUAAUUUAUUAUUUAUAUUUAUAUUAAUAAUUAUAUAUUUCUUAUUUUUCUAUAUACAUUUAUUUAACUUCUUUUUAGUAUGUUUUAAUGGUUUUUUUAUACAACUUCAAAAAAAUAACUAAAAAUUUAGAAACACUUCAAUAUAAUUGAAUAUUUUAAUAUUUUAGCCUUCAAUAAAGCCAAAAAGUUGGAAAAGUUAUAAUAUCUAGGUUUAUCUUAAAUAUGAAGAAAAUAAUAAGUUUUGGUUUAUUAUUAUAUCUUUAAUUGUUUACCAUACCACAAAUUAUUGUUAAGAAUUUCAAAAUAAAAAUUGCAAGCCUAAAAUAUUUAAUCACCACACAUAAAUCAUAAAGUUGUAAUGAAACUAAAUGUGGUUUGGUGAUAGAAUGAAGCAAUGCCAUCAAAGACCUAAGCCAUUUAUACAAUUUCAAUCCUAUCUAUAAUUGACAUUAAAAAUUUUGAAGCAAAUAAGAAUCUUAAGAUGUCUAAUGUGAAUAAAAGAUGCCUAUGAAUAAUAUGCACAAUUUUUUUGCUGAUAAUAUACAAGAUGAAACCAUGUCUAUACCACUCUAUAUACUCAAUCUUUUCUUUGCUUGAAAUAUUUAAGUGAUACUAAAAUAUCUAUAUUCUUCUUAACCUACAUAAAUGAGCCACUCAAAAAUGUGCGAGUGAAUGUAAUAUUUGAUGAUGGAUCACCUUUAUAAUAAUUUCUUAUAUUUUUAUUAUUUUAUUUUUAAAUGAUUAAUCUAAAAAUAUUUCUUUUUAGCAACUAUAAUUGUAUCUUUUUGAUGCCAAAGUCAAACAGAUUCAUAUCUAUCACAUUGCAGCAAAUGAAAUAUAAGCACCUGCUAAAGAUAAUGGUGGACAAUGGUGUGAUACAUUCAACAGUGUUGUUAUAUGAUAUAAGUCAAAAUCAUGAAUUUAGACAUUGACAGUGACAUAAAGCACUAAUACUUCCAAAGUUAGUUGAAGUCCAAAUUUGAUGAUGAAUCCAAACUCACUUCUCUCUUCUUACGUCAAUGACCUCAUCUUAAAUAAGUUUUGGUAAAUAUGGUCUAUCACAAAUAGCACCAAUGAGCCAGACAUAUUGCCAUACUUUGAAAAUAUCUCCUAGCCGCUUUAUAUCUUAUCUUUGCUUAGCUUCAAUUUUUCCUCUACCAAAUUUAAAAUGGCUAUAUUUUUGGAUGUAUUGCCCAAAUUAUAUUAUUCUAUUGUACUGAGUCCAUACACUUCCUACUCUUAUUUAAAAACUUUUCAAUGUUCUUAAAAAUCAGUUUAAGCACAUCCUUCAUGAAGUAGAAGAUGAGUAUUACUUCUAUGAGGUAUCUAUUAAUGGUGCCAUCAUUAUAUUGUAAGAUGGACUCUUCUGUUGAUUACACCUUAAACAAUAAUUUUUUUACCUAUGGCUUAUGAUCAGAUCCUAUAAUGUACACACUUGCAUCUUUGCCAAAUAGAGCUGAGUCUAGAAGCCUGUUCAAGUGGUUUUAGCUUUUGACAGAAUAUGUUAUGGUAAUAAUCUAACUAUAUAUUAUCAAUACUCCAAUGCUAUUGUUGUUCCUUGUGAGAUAUUAGGCCACUAUAAGCACCAAUGUCCCACCAAAGUACAUGGUCUCAUCUUAAAAUAUAAUUGUUACAAUUAAUUAUGUGUGAGGUAUUCAAGAGUCAUACCUUCUUUACGAGAUGCAACCUUUACAAUUGAACUUUCUUUGACAAUAUAAAGUAAAAUACAAAACAAGCAAUAAUAAUAAAAAAAAAUCUAAUUAUUUUAAAAAAAUAAAACUUAUAUUUUUAAGUUUUAAUAUGGUAUCAAAGCAUCUCUCUGAAAAUUUAGCAAAGCAUGUUCUAGAGAAGAAGUAAUUAAAAAAAUCAAAAAAAAAGAGGCUUUCUUGAAGAUAUUCUUCAAAAAAACUCGAAUAUUAAUAAACCUUCUUUUUUAUGAAUAUGGCUAUGAAUAGCCUCUCUACUAACAAAUGAUCCAAGUUUGAUGGUCUAUAGUACUCAAUUUGGAAACAAAAAAAUCAAAUAAAAUUUGAUUUAAAAGACGUUUGGAAUCAAAUUUUAAGAAUUGAAGAAGAAUUAAUUCCUAUCCUAAAACCAAAUUCAACAUUACCAAAAAAUCAAAGUGAAAUAUUCACAUAGAAGAAGGAAAAACAAAUGGUACUUUUUUCUAUAUAGAAUUGUAUUGAUAAUUUGAUUUUUUUACAUGUAGAAGCUUGCAAAAUAGCAAAUAAAGCUUAGAUAUCUCUUGAGAAUAUGUACUCAAUAAAUAUCAUGGUCACAUAAGCCCACCUACAAAAAAAUUCAUCACACAAAAGAUGAAAGCAAAAGAAUCAAUUACACAAUAUCUCCACAAUUUCAAAAAUCUACUUCAACAAUGUCAAGCCAUAUUAGAUGUUAUUUCACCACAAAUAGAAAUAUUAAUCCUUAUGAGAUCUAUGCCAUCACAAUAUGGUUCUAUCAUCUAAACAUUAAGAACUAUAAAAAAUACAAUACUUCCUAAGCUAAUUUCUAUUUUUUUUUCAAAAUAAAAUAAUUAUAAAAGGUUAUUUUUUUGAAUUACAAGCCUUUUUUAUUAAUAAAAAAAAAACAAAUAGCCAUUAAAACAACCACCAAAAUAAUAUUCAUAAGAAUACAAAUAUAAUAUCUAAUCCUAAAGUAAGCCUACUUUUCUAUAUUUUUAUUGUAAAAAGAUGGAAUAUUAGACAUUAGACUAUUUUUAGAAAAAAUAUUAAAAAUUAUGCCACAACAAUAAAUAAUUUAAGAAAAUCAAAAAUAAUAUAGAAAGAUAAAAAUGUGAAAGAAAUUCCACCUUCUUUUUUAUGCUCAUUCUUACAUUUUAGAAGCAUUUUGUUCUACAAAAUGUCUCCAACUUAAAAAAAUAAGAAACAAUCAAUAUAUGGUUGAUAUUGGAGCUCUACAUCAUCUAAUUCAUAUCAAAAUAUAAUUUAUUAAUUUUCAAAGUCAAUCAUUUAAUGAUCACUAAGUGCAUCUUAGAAACAAUAGAAUACUCCUAAUCUAUAGACAAGGAACAAUUAAAAUUUAGCUAGAAAAGGGAUCCAUAUAUUAUCUUUUAAAUUUUUUAUAUAUUCCAAAUUUAUAUAAAAAUAUAUUUUCAGCAUGCAAAUAUGACGAAACUAGAAUACAACUCCUAAAUAAAAAUCAAACUUAUAAGCUAUUGGAUUAAGAUGAUCAAGUUCUUAUUGAGUAUCUUUUCUACAAUAAUCUAUACUUGUUAGGAGCCAUUGUUCUCUUUGCUUUAUUUAUAGCUAAGAUGGUAGUCAUAACACAUGCCUUACUCAUGGCACCAAAUUUUAUUUUUUAGACCCCAAAAAACUACUCUAUUGAAAUUUUCGAAUAAAUUUGUAUCUCUUUACAUUAUCUCAAUAUUUUUAUAGCCAAUGGACAUCAUGUAUAAGAAUCUUGACUGUUGUCAAUCUCAAUUUAAGUUCUUAGCAUUGAAUUCAUGCUUAAUUAAUCUUCUUCAUCAACAUCUUCUAUUAUAAUAUAACUCUAAUAUUAUUGCUUAGGCUAUAUCAACAAUUCUAGAUUAUAAAAAUUAUUUAAAAAUAAAACCAUACUUAAAGUCUUUUUAAAUUUAUUUUUUUUAUAUCUAUAUUAUAUAUGUAUUUAUGGCAAAUAUAUCACUAUAAUAUUCUUUAAAGAAUUUAUAUUUAGAGCCAUUUAUCUUAUAGAAAUUAUUCAUUCAAAUUUAAGUAGUAGAAUUGUAACACCCAUUAUUUUAGAUAUGAAUAUUAUAUUAUUUUUAUUGACAAUUUCUCCAAACACAUUGUCUUUAGACUUCUUUGAUGAAAAAAUGGGUACUUUAAAUUCUUUAAUAUGUGGAUAGAAAAAUAAAUUAGAUAUAAACUAUAGACUCUCCAUUCCAAUGAAAGAGGAAGGUAUUUUUCUUUUGUCUUUGAUUACUACCUACAAGACAAUAGCAUACAAUGCCAAUUAACUAUUGCCUAUAGCUUUCAAAAAAAAUGAGGUGAGACAACAAAAAAAUAAAGCUUUAUUCAAUACAACUAAGUAUAUGUUCUAUGAAGAAAAUUUACCAAAGUCAUAUUAAAUAGAAGUAAUUACUUAUGCAACAUAUCUUUAAAAUUACAUUCCAACUAAAUUUAUUCUAAGUCAUGCCACUCUUUUAGAAUUAUGAUACAAAAAAGAAUUAAAUCUAUCACAUCUUUGUGUAUUUUGGAGCAAGUAUUAUGCAAAAAAUUCUAAUGCAUUAAGAACCAAACUCAACAUGACCACAAUCAAAUAUACCUUCUUGGGAUAUAGUCACACUAGUAAGGUUGAAGAUGUAUAUACAAAGGUUAUGCUUACUUCUCAAAGUAUAAUAUUUCCAGAGGAUACCCUACCUAUUCAAAAGCAUGAUAUUUUUAUUUAAACUUGAAAUUUUUUCCAACAAUUUUUGCUUUGAUAGUGUUAUUUCUUGUUUUAACAAUGGCCUACUUCAGACAACCAACCUUAUAGCUACUACUUCAUCCACUAAACUUAUUGUAUAUGCAUUGCUACUAGUUUUUGAAGUCUUUGUCUUACCAUUGGUUCCUAAAGACUGUACAAUCUAGACUAAACAACUCACAUUUCCUAUGCGGAGUGUUUUUUUAGGCCCUGCUGUAUACUCAGUACAAUUUGUCUUUUCAAUACUUAUUGUUACUAUAGAGCAUAUAAGGCCUCAUCCUACCUAAGAUUAUUCCUUUUCUACCAAACUACUAUUACUACAAGUACCUUGAUUCAAAGUUAUAUUGCCUGUGCAACUCUUCAAUUAUGCCUUUCUUUUAUUGUUGGCCAUUGUAGCCCCUGUAUUUAUGCCAGUGGACAACAUUCAUUGCUUUCUUCUACAUUCAACUCUAACUCGUCCUCUUUGUAGCUAUAAAGAUGAAUAAUCUAGCAUCAAAGUCAUACUUCAUAUAGAGAAUCAUUCAUAAUCACCCAAAAAUUCCUAUCUUUGACUAUUAUCUCUAGAUCUUGACCAUAGUACCUUUCUUGCUACAAUAUUGUCUCUUAGCAUAAUAUUUGCUCUCUUCCAUUGUACCUCUAUUAAAUCAAUAAAAGAUAUUUUUUUUCUUUGUAAUUUCAAUGAAAAUUAUGACUUUAAUAUUUUAACACUUUGAUGGUUCUAUGUUAUUUUUAUAAAAACAUGGGCAUUAUAUAUCUUAACUCUUAUUUUGUUAGAAUUGAUCUCAUACAAACAUGCUUUGACUUCUUUCAAAUCUACCCAUUAAAAGGCUACUACUACUAAUGAGCUCAACUCUCAUGUAGUCAAUAGAACUUGGAUCUUCAAUGACCUCCUUCACAACCAACAGUCAAUUAUUAGUAAGUGGAUCUUCAAACUCAAAUUUAAGAGUGACAACCACAUUGCUCGAAAUACUGCUUGUCUUGUUGUCCCAAAAUUCAAUCAAAAUUUAGAAUUGAAUUAUAAAAAGAAAAAAAAAUAAAAAUAAAAAAAAAUUGAUUAUUUGAAUCCAAUCAAUUUAUCUCAUGCUUGUCCUUACCAUUCAAAAAAAUCUACACAUCUAUCAAAUAGAUGUUAUGAUAAUAUUCUUAAAUGGCAUUUUAUAAGAAAAAAUCUUAAUAAAAGUCUUAUCUACCAUUACUCUUCUAUGCCUUGAGCUAGUCUAUCAUCUCUAAAAAACAUUGUAUGGCCUAAAGUAGUCACUAGAAAAAUGGUUUUAGGUCAUUGAUGCCUAUCUUAAUUGAAUGAGAUUUCAAAACUCUAUGACUUAUCUCAAUAUCUAUCUUCUAAAUUAUAACUAUUUCUUUGUCAUUUUCAUGCUUCAUAUAGAUAAUAUUAUGCUUGCUAAUAAUAAUCUUUUGAUUUUUUAUGACAUCAAGAAUAGCUAUAUUUUUGUUUCUUGUUGUCUAAACUUGAUGAUGUUUAUUAAAUCUUCAAGCUUCAAGUUAUUUAUGAUAAGCAAAAGGACUAACUUUGUAUUCUUUAAAGCUUAAAUUUUAUGUAAAAAUUAUAGGAAUAUGGCUUCUUAGAUGCUCAAUUUAUAUCAACUCUCCUUGUAUCUAGGAUCAAACUUUUGGCCUCUAUUUGUCUUUCUAAAUCUUCCACAAGUGAUGCCAAUUCAACUUUUUGCUACGCCAAUGCUAUUAGUUUGCUAAAUUGUGCGAGCAUAUACACCUACUUAGACAUUGCCUUUGUGGUGACCAUCUUCAUCUAGUACAUGCAUAAUCUUGAGGCCAAACAUGUCAUCACUUGCAAACAUUAUUUUUACUACCUCCACAAUACAUUACAUUUUGCUAUUAAAUAUUAUCAUGAUAUAAUUAUGCUAUAUUUUUUAUUUGUCUAUAAUUAUUUAGAUUGGAUUGAAAAAGUAGAUGAAAAGUAUUCCACGUGGUAUUUUAUUAUGUGUUGAAUUUUUUGAGAAUGCAUUAAGUAUAUGGCUAUAGAAGGUAAAGUUGUAUUCUAAAAAUAUCAAAGAAAUUUUAAUAGGUUUUAUUCAUAUAAAAAGAAUGUAAUUCGAAUUUCAACUCAAAAGUACUUAAAACUAAUAUAAAGUAUUCAAAAAUACUCUUCUUAAUAACCUUGAUUAUAUAUAAAUUCUAAAUAUCCUAUUACUUUCAUAUUAGAUAAUUUCAAUUUUUCUUUAUAAGCCAUCAUUCUAGUUAGUGAGCUGCAAUAAGCUGUAAUUUCUAAUUUGACUCUCUAUCUGGCAUAAAAUUUUACAUAAAAAUGCCAUUAAAAAUCUUCUAUAUACUCUAGAAAAUUCAAUUCAAUCCAAAUUACAAAUUAUAAGAAAAUGUCCAAAAAAACAACCCUAAUGUCACUUGGCUGCCAACUCAAAAGUUGAUAUAGAUGUUCUAAUAGUGUUUUUUCCUUCUUUAACUAUUAAAUUUAGCUUAAAAUUGGUAUAUAGCUUGACCUUUAAGUCUUCUAAAACCAUGCCAAAUUUUAUCUUAUUUCGACUAAUAGAUCUUCAUGUAAUAGAGAAAUCCUACUCAACCCCAAAUUGCCAACUUUUAUUAUCUUCUUGCAUAAAAAAUUAGAUAUCUCUUAAUUUCACUAUUAAAUUAAUACUAAAUUUUAUGCACACUUGGUACAUCCAAUCAAUCAAGCAUUAUCAAAUUUUGAACUAUAGAUGUAACACUAAUAGCUCAAACUAGCUAAGAGAACUAACUUUAAUUGUAUUGCAUAAAUCUAAAGUCACCAAUAAAAUUUUUGAAUUUGAACAAUAAUUACAAAGUCAUUUCAAAUCUCAUGAAAAUAAGCUUUAUACUUCUAAAAUAAGCUUAAAGCUAGCUCUCCAAUCCUAGUUACUAAUCUUCAUAUACAUCUAUAUUUUGCCCUACGUUGCCAUUUUAGUAGCUAGAGGUCUGAUUUAUUGUGUGGCAUAGGUUUCAUCAAGUGGUGAAAUUUGGCCUCAUACUAUUGAAUUCUAAAACCGAGCUUGUAAUGUCAACUGGAAUGACAAAGCCCUUAUCAAUCAAUUUUGAUAUGAAUUAAAAGAUAAUGUCAAAGGUUUGUUAUUGACAAUAUCAAAGGUAGAAUAUUUAGAAUAAUUUAUUGCUCAAGCCAUUACAUAUGAUAAUGAAUUAUUAGAAAGACAUGAAGAACAAAGACUUGGUUGAAAAAAAAGAAAUCAAGUAAUGAUGGUAAUUUCCAAGUUUUUGGAAAUACAUUCAUCAAGACCAAAACCAAUACAAAUUGAUAGGAUAUAUUUUGAAAUCCUUCAUAUAGCAGGAAAAGACUCAACAAUGUCAAGAGGGAUUAUUCUUAUAUUGUAGAGAAGCUAAACACACUGCUCAAUAUUGUCCAAAGAAACAAUGCAACUAUAAAAUAAGAAGCAUGGUUGCCAAAGAAGAUAAUGUAUCAAUAAACGAGUUUUUUCAACUACAAUAGGGACCAUGUAGCUAAAAUCUUGCAUAACUCCUAGUAAAAGUCAUAUUCUCUCUUCAAAUCCCUCACCUUCUUUUACAAUAGAAGUUUAUUUAGGACCAAAAAAUCAUCAAGUCUUAAAUUGAUUAGAUUCAAGAACUUCAUCUUGUUUUACAAAUGAAGAUUUUCUCAAAAAAUAAGAGAUAUCAUUAAUCAAAAUAACUAAACCUAUACAUGUAGAAAUCAUAGAUGAUCAUUUGUUAUCUUUUAGAGAUAUAAUGCAUGAAAUUAUUUCUUUAGAUGUAGCAAUUAAACAUCAUAAUAGCAUAGUAAUAUUUAAUAUAAUAAGAUCGCUAUUUAAUCUAAUUAUUUUAGAAUUAUCUUGAUUAAAAAAAUAUAAUCUUUAAAUAGAUUGGAUUUCUUGUAAUCUUAAUUUUUUUCAUAAUUUAAUCCAAAAUCUUGUUAAUCAAAUAAAAAUAUAUAAGUCUAAUAUAUCCAAACCUUUAUUGGUAGGUAUGAAAGCUUUCAUGUAUGCCACAAAAGAAGGAUUAUCUUUUGUUUUAUAUUCCAUAUUUAUUUUUGAUGGUGAAAAGAUGUCAAAUAAUAUUCUUAACUGGUAUCAAGAUUUCUAGGAUGUUUUAUGAAAAGAAGAAUGCAGAUAUUUUUUUAGAGCAUCAUUCUUAUGAUUGUUCCAUUGAUCUUUAUGAAAAAGCUCAACCACCAUUUGGACCAAUCUAUAGCCUAUUACAAAAUGAGUUGGUUGCACUCAAGGAGUACAUUGAUGAAAACUUGGCUAAAAAUUUUAUAUGUCAUUUUAAAUUUCUAAACAAGACUCCUAUCUUAAUUUUGAAAAAUAAAGAUGGAUCUCUACAAAUAUGUAUAGUUUAUUGAAGACUCAACAAGAUCACCAUCAAGAAUAGGUAUCCUCUACCUUUGAUUUUAGAACUUUUUGAUCAAUUGAAUCAAAUUAAGAUUUAUACGAAAAUAAAUCUACAAAGAAUCUAGUAUACAUUAAAAAAAAGAGAUGAAUGAAAAAUUACAUUUUAAAUCAAGUAUGGAUAUUUUGAAUAUAAUGUCCAUUUAUGGAAAUAGAUGAUAAAUUCCAUCAUGUAGUUUUUUAUUCCAAAUUAUUUUCAAUAUCUGAGAUUAAUUAUGAAAUCUAUAAAAAAGAUUUCCUUGCAAUCAUAGAUUCAUUUCAAGAAUGGUGUCAUUGUUUAAAAGGCAUUUAGAGUUCAAUCAUCGUACAUAAAAAUUAUAAGAACCUUAAGUACUUCAUGUUGGCACAUGUUUUGAAUUAUUGCCAAUCUCGUUACAAUAUGUCAUUAUCAAGAUUUGAUUUCAAGAUCACUUAUUAACUUAAAAAAUAACAAGAUUUUUUAGAUGCCCUUUCUAGAUGUUUUUAUCUUGUACCAAAAGAAGGAGAUGCAACUUUUAAUUAACAAAGAAUAAUUUUCUUAAAUUUGGAGUAUUUUUACCUUCAAGUAAUAAAAUCAAUAUUGAUUGUUGAUUCAACCUCUAUUAAGCAAAUUCAAUCAAGUAUGUCCAUUGAUCCUCUUAUCUAUGAUGUCAAGAAUAAUUCUUUUAUGUCUCAUGAUAUGUGAGUGUAAAAUUCCACCCGUCAAUCCAAAUUACAAGAUGGCCUCAAUUAAAAGUUGCUUGUAAUAGGUGGUAUGAAGUGGAAGUAACAACCAACAAGAACUAAAGAAGAAUAACACAAAACAAGUGAAACAAGUUCAAUCAAGCAAUUGUACUCUACAAAACGAGUCACAGUCUGUUCAUUGGAUUCUCACCUAGUAAAAAGUAAAAAUUAAAAGUAAAAAAUUAUAUUUUUAGAAAGUGAUUUUUUUUUUUAUCUUUUCAAUGAUGUAAAAAAUACAUAAAUCCGAGUUUCUAUGAGUAAGUUAUGAAGGAUUAAAAAUAACAAGUAACAAAUGGAAAGUUAAGUGAAAAACUUAUUAAUAGAUCAAAGGUUCGAACGUCACCAAGGCUCACAUGUAGUGUAUAUGGGUUGUCUAAAGAGGCCUUGGGGCCUUAGUCUUAUCUUCUUACCUACAUCCAAGGUGCUACAACCCAUAUGGAACUUGUGCAACUCCCUUCUUACAUGGACUAUACUAGGUGCUGGUCCUCCUAUUUUCUACUAGUAGAAUUAACUUUUUUGCAUUUUUGACUUCACCAUGGUGUUCAAAAACACCCAAUUACCCUGGAGACAUUGCGUGGCCUUCAAACCUUGCUCCAUUUCUUCAUAAUGGCUUCCCAAGUGGUAAAACUCAAUUUUACCAAGGUCUUGAAAACUACCCUAAAAAUUCAUAGAAAAUUCUAAAUAAAUUCUAAUUAAAUUCUAAAAAUUCCUAUAAUAUUUUUAUAACUCUAAUAUCUAUUUAAAGAUAUAAUUCCCUAUAUUGAUAAUUUUCUAUAGUGAUAAAAAUCAAUUUGAAUCUACUAAAAAUUCUAAAUAAUUUCUAAAUAAAUUCUAAAAAUUCCUAUAAUAUUUCUAUAAUGCUAAUAGAAAUUAAAGGAUACAAUUUCCUAUAUUAUUAAUUUUUUAUAGUAACGGAAUAAAAUUAAAUCUACUAUAAAUUCUACUUUCUAUAUUAAUAACUAAAAAGACAUGAGGUUCUUUCUCAUGCUUCUUUUAACUACUAACUAACCUUUAUAGUUUUUAUAUAAGUAAUACAUAUAGAUAUAAGAUCAAUAUAAAUAUUGAUUUUAGUUACUACUCCUUACUCUUCAAUAAUAAAUAGAAGUACUAAACCAACUAAAAUAAUUGCCUCCAAGACUUACUAAGACUCCAUUUCUUCUCCACUAAUAUUAUUCUUCUUUCUUUAACAUCUUCUAAGCAUAUUUUUACCUAAUAAUUAUAAUUUUGGCACUCUACAUGCACUCUUUUGUCCUAAAAAAACUAGUGAGUCAAUCUGAUGAUUCACAUGAUAUUUCUAAAUUUGAAUUAAAAAACAAACAACUCUAUUUUGAGACACAAUUAUACAUUCAAGAAGAUAGAGCAUGAUUAUAUGUUCUUCAAAUUUGUCAUGACUUUCCAACAACAAGAUAUUUUGGAUACAACAAGCUUUUAGAGCUAAUAUCGAGAGAUUUUUGGUGGUUUCAAAUAUGGAAGAGAAUCAAAGACUUUGUACAAUGUGAGCUAAAAUAAACCUCUACUAGUUGGAAGUUUAUUCUUGUUCAUAAUAAGUAAAUUAAUUAUUUAAUCCUUAGAAUUUUAGCUUUUAAUUAAAUCUUAAUCAAUUCUCUCUUAACCUCCUUAAAUCACUGAUGUCUGAGGCAAAAAUAAUCUCUAUUAAUUAGAAUUCUUCCUUACUCAAAACAUUAGAAUGAACGAUGCAAUUUUGACAAAUUAUAGCUCUUAUUGAAUCCAAUUUAAUUCACCCAAUAAUUCCUUAAUUUAUCCAAGUAAUCAAGUAAUUUCUACUAUCACUUCAUACAUAUAACAAUAAGCCAAUCCAAAAUAUUAUGCAAAUUUAAAAAUCAUCAUUACUACUAAUUUUAUUAAUUAAUUAUUUUAUUUUAUUAUUAUUAUUAUUAAUUUUAUUUUUUUAAUUUCGAAUUAACAUUUAUCUAUCAAUAAGAACUCAUCCUUGAAUAAUUAUUCAUCCAUAGUUAAUAAUUCAUUUAUGAUCAAAUAUUCAUCCAAAUCCUUAUUUUAUUUAUUUAUUUCUUAUUAUUACUAUUACAUAUUUUUUCAAAAAAUAAAAAAAUAAAAUAAAAACUUAACUUCUUCUUUCUAAACCUAAAUUCCAAUAUCUAACUUCCAUCACUUCGCAAGUGUGAUGACUUUGAGGAGGUAUGACAACCGAUCCAAUUUUGCUUGAAAGUCAAAAGCUGACUAUAGAGUGACGUGCCUCUCCACCUUAGAUCCCUUCCUACUAAGCAGCGACCUCCGUUGGGAGUAAUACAAGUCUCUCAAUGUCAAACUUCUUCUACCUAACUUCACAUGCAAGGAACGCUUUAAGGACUCGAUAUAGGAUUAUCUUGUAACAAUUCAGCAGCUUCCUACUUAGAGUUUUUUAAAAGAAUGUUGAGUAGCCAAGGACAAAAUUCCACCCCAGUGUCGUCUGCGAGUUCUUACGAGGACAAUGUGCCAUGGGUGCCCUUCUUGACUCAGUUCUUGUCGUAAGAAUCCCAAAAAUUUGAUUUCAUUCUUGAAUUUUGGUUGCAAAUAAUGUCUCCAUUCUAUUGAUAUAGGUGCUGGAGGACCACAUGCCAAUGUCAUGAGGAGCUUGGUGUAUGAAGCAAUACUUGCCACCUCGAUUUGCUAGUAUCAGAUUAACAAGAAUACAUUUAGGAUUGAGGGCGGGCUUUCGUGCAUCACUUUUAUCCAUUUUAUCGCUAUACAUUACAAGGCAAUCAACUCAACAUCAUGAAAUUCUAUUGGAGGUUACAUAUUUGCAAUUUAAUUUCUAUUUUUAUUUAAAAAUUCUACUAUUAAUUUUUAAAAUUUGUGGUUUUAAGCAUAAUAAGUAUAUUUUUAUACUAAAUAUUUAAGUGAGUCAAUUCAAUGAUUCAUAUACAAUCAUGUGAUAUUUGUUCAAGAUCCAAAAUUCCUUGCCAUUGAUAUAAUGAAUUUCUUCAGCCAUUAUAUAUUCUAGAACAAUCAUGGUCUUUUGUUUCUAUGGAUUUUGUUUCUAUGGAUCUUUCAAUCUUAGGUUUAUAUGAUUUCUAUAUUUGUGGUAGUAGAUCAUUUUAUCAAAUUGACAUAUUUUAUACCAUGUACAAAAUCUAUCACAAAUGAAGAAACAACUAAGUUUUUUCUUAAUAACAUCUAUUGCUAUCAUGAUCUCGAGGUAGAGAGAAUUUGCCUUAAGAAAGCAUUGGGCUUCCAGCUAUUACUAAUUACUUAAUCAAGCUUUAAGAUUAAAAAAAAUACCAAGUUCAUAUAUAAAAUUAUUCCUAUAGAGAUAAUUACAUCAAUACAUAGGCCUUAAGUAUCAAAGAUCACCAAAAAUGUAAUAAAAAUAUUAUAAAAACUUGCAUAUUCUUAAGGUGAAUUUUUUUUAAAUUUCAACAGUUUAUAUCUCACAAUUGGACUAUCUAAAAAAAUCCAAAUUUUAUAUGAAGUAGUGAUGUACUUAUAGCAACUACAACUACAAAUUUUAAUUACAAAUUCAUUAUUAAUUUUGAAAUAUUACCAAAAUUCUAAUAAUAGCUUCAAAUCCUUACUUAUGUAUCACUUAUGUAUAAAUUUCUUCAUAACUCAUAAGUUAAGUAUUCAAAUACUAUAAAAUUUUGAUGUUUAGCUUCUUCACUUAAUAACACUCAUUUUUAAAAUUUUUGAGCUAAGAAUUCAUCCAAAAGCUCAAGAUAUGGCUCCAACUACAACUAUCAACAAAAUGACUCACUUAUAGCCUUUGAAUUACAUAAACUAUCUUUAAUGCUCUAUUACUUCUUCAUACAAACUCCAAAUAGAAAAAAAAAAUUUACAAAAGACAAAGAUUUUAAAAUCAUCCUUGUGGUUGUACUUCUUGAUCUCCAAAAUCUAUCAUAAAACUUCUUGUAUUUUCAAAAAAGUAACAAUAUAUCUUAAAAUGAUACCUUAACUUCAAUUGGUAAUAACUUUAUCAUCCUAACUCCAAAUCUCCUAAAAAUUUUGUACAAAUUAUAGUUUAAAUCUUAAUACUUACAAAUCUUAUUUUUAAUUUUCAAAUAUUCUUUUUGAAGUCACCAAAAUCCUUGUUAUGGUUGCAAAUAACGUGCUCAAUGCCUAUUAGGUAUAGCCUUCAAUCAAUAGGGAUGAAGAUCUUUAUCUUUUGCCUUUCAUCCCUCUAAAUAAGUUACUUAGAGGUUUGAAUCUUUAUCAUUAAUCCUCAAUCUUUUCCUCAAAUUUUAUACUAAAUAUCUAAAUCUUAUAUAAUUUAAAUAUAAUAAUUAAUAUAAAUAAAUUUUAAAAUAAAUUAUCUUACAUCAACUCUCUUUAAAUUAACUUAUUAACCAUUCUAAUAUAUAUCAAUACUUAUAAAUAUAUUGUAUAUUUUAGUUAAUUUUUACAUACUAUAAACAAUUGAAAUAUGACAAUGGAUUGCUUAAAGAUAUUAUAUUGGAUAGGAGGAUUCAAUUUAUAUCAAGAUUUUGGAAAAUCCUUUUUAAGAUUUUAAAGGUGGAUAUAAAACAUUCUUCAAUUUUUCAUCCUCAAAAUGAUGGACAAACAAAAUGAAUGAAUCAAGUUAUAAAAUAGUAAUUGGUUAUUAGGUAAUUUUCUUUACCAAUUAUAGUUAUCAUCCACAACUUGAUAUUUUUUACUUUUUAAAAGUUGAUAAUGCUGCAGCAAAAGAUUUGGCAAAUUGAUUGUCAAAACUACAUGCAACAAUAAAGGCACAAUUAAAAGUAGCUCAAAAAUAAUAAAAGAUUAAUUUAGAUGCAUAUUACAAAGGACAACCACAAUUCAAUGUAGGUGACAAAGUAUGGUUACUUCUUCUCAAUAUCAAGACUUCUUAUUCUUGUGACUAGUUGGACUAUCAUAGACUUGAAACUUUUCAUAUUAAUGAAAAAAUCAAUCUUGUUGCUUAUCAAUUAUAUCUACCAAAAUCUAUGAAAAUUCACCCCAUAUUUUAUGUGUCUCUUCUUGAACCAUAUAAGAUAGUGAAUAUCUUAGAAAGAAGAUAAAUGCCACCUCUUCCUAUUCAAGUUGAUAAUAAUCUAGACUUUGAGGUAGAAGAAGUCUUAGAUUCAAGGCGGCACCAAAAUAGGUUGGAAUAUUAUAUUCAUUGGUGUAGAUAUGAUAUUAGUAAAUACACAUAGGAGCCAAUAAAGAAUCUUGCAAAUGUAAUAAAGAGAGUUGAAGCUUUUUUUAUCAAUGACAUCCAUCAAAACUAAGAUGAAGAAUAUCAAAUCUUUGCUAUAAAAGAAACAAGAUCCAAGGAAGAUAACACUCUACCUUCUAUCAUUUUUUUUAACUUUUAUGUAUUUGUAAUACUAAAGAGAUGGAGAAUCAAUAGCUAAUAGAUUCAACUCAAGAUCCAUCAUUUGUUGAUUUAUUAGAUAAGAUAUUGUGACUAUUACAAACUUCAAGACGACGUAUUAAAAAUAAAUAUUUUCAAGCAAAACAUGUUUUUUUUUUUGAAUAGAUGGUAAGAUACAAUACAUUUGAUAUCAUGUCCUAAGAAGAAAUUCUUGAUAUUUGGUUAUUUUAUUGAAAGUAGGAAUGAUUCUUGAUGGUAUUACAAAUAUUUUGUUUGAAGGAACUUAUAAAGGCUUCAACAAAGAUUAAAUAAUAAUAUAGUCUUUUUGUCCUAAAAUAAAAUAUUACUAAUGAUUAAGAAGAUGUAUCAACUACGUUCAAAGAAAAUAAAGAUUAGAGUAUGUAGCAAAUAUAAUUUGCCACAUCUUAGACUUCUUCAACAUAUAAUCACGACUCUUCAUAGAACUUGUUUCUAGAAGAAGGAAUAAUAUCAUGGAUAUAUAUCUAAUAUAACUAUUACUUAGAUAAUAUAAGUACGUAAAAGUAAAUAAAAAUAGGUAAUAAUAAAUUAAUCUUAUAAUAUCUUCUAAAGAAGCUAUUUAGAAGCUUUCUAGAUGUUUUUUUGACUUUACAUAUAUUUGUAGUUGAUUAGUAGGUAAAAACUUAGUCAAUAAAUUAACCAGGUGUUGGUAGCUUACAAAUCAAGCUAACUAUAUAGUACACAUAUAGAAAACUUGCUAUGGAAGAGUCACAGACAUACACAUGUAAGUAAGUAAUUACCUAUAUAAAUAGAUAGAAGUAAGUAAAUAUAAGUUAAUUCUAUAAUAUCUUCUAUAGAAGCUUCAUAGAUGCUGCUUUGAUUUUAUAGGUAUCUAUAAUUGAUUUUUUGGGUUAUAAAAGUAAUCAACAAGUUAGCCAUGUACCACACAUAUUGUUAGCUUGAAGAAUAAGCUAACUAUAUGGCCCUUAUGUAGAAAAACUUACCUUGUAAGUUAAGGCAUAUAUGCUAUAAAGUGAACACAUAUUAUAGUUUCUAUCGAACAUCGCCAUGUAAUCCUUAGUUAGAUAUUAUAUAUAGAGAGAAGAGUGAAGCCCUCUUCAUUCUUCUCAAGUCCUUUCUUGCUUCUAAUCUAGUUUCAAGAGUCUCAAGUUUCCUUAUUUUUUGGUAAUAAGCCAUUCUAAUUUCUUUUUAAUAUACGUACUUUUUUAUUUUUAUUUUGUUAUUCUUUCUUUGAUACGGAUUUCAUUGGUUUAUACAUCAUCUUUUAAUUCAUGUCUUUAACAGAUUGAUAAGAGUACACUUACAAUAUCAGAGCUUUGUCUUGUUUUGAUUAAGAGUAGAUUAUCUCUUUCUCAUGAUAAAACAUAAGCAUAUUAGAAGUUGCAGAUUACCCUUUUCUAAACUAAUAUUAUUCUUAGUAUUUUCUUUGUCUUCAAGUCCUUUCUUCUACUUCUCUUUUAUAGUAAUAGAUAUUUUUUUGAGUAUUAUUAUGGCAGAGCUUGUUGAAAUAAAGAGUGCAAUGGCACAAAUGCAAGAAAAAUUGAGAGAGUUGAUGUUGGCAAUGCAUCAACUUAACUUACCACCACAAAGAUCAAUAAGAAUGGUAGGAAGUGAGGAUAUAGAGAUGAUUAAAGCUGCUUCAACAUCUGCACCAAAUCAUAUCACUCUACCUAUGGUGGAACAUCCUUCAAGUGUUAAAGAAAAAAGAAUUACUUUGCUCAAGAAGUUUGAUGGUACAAAAACCAAAUUUUGAUGAUUUAUCAAUCAAGUAUAACUUGUGAUUGAACUUCAAUUUCAAAGCUAUCCAAGUCUACGAUCAAAAUUUAGAUUCAUUGAUACACUUCUUUCACAUUCAGUACUUUCAUGAUUUUCAUCUUUUUUUAAACAACAAGAUUCAAUAUUAAAUAAUCUAAAAGUAUUUUUGGUGGAAUUCCGAUCUAUGUAUGGAGAACAUAAUGCAACUCAUGUUGCAACCAACAAGAUCCAUAUUUUAUAAUAAAGCAAUCGAUUUGUAACAUUAUAUGCUUCAUAGUUUCAAUAACUUGUAACUAAUAUCAAGUGAAAUGAUACUACACUUAUUAGCCAAUUUUUCGAUGGAUUACAAUAUAAAAUAAAGAAAUUGAUGCCAAACUUUCUUGAUCUUCAAACUUUAAGUCAAGCAAUUGAUUUUGUUGUAAAAUAUAACAAUCAACUUUUUGAAUUUUGAUCUGAGAGUCGCAUAAAUGAGCUUCAAUAUUAUCACAAUUCAAUGGCAAAACCAACAUCUCCUCAACACAAACAUUCAGAAAAAGAGGAUAUGCAAAUUGAUAUGGGAUGUUUUAAAUCUCUUGUCAAGCAAGAAAAGACUCAAUACCAUCAAGAAGGAUUAUGCUUAUUAUUUGGAGAACCUAAACACACUGCUCAACAUUGUCCAAAGAAGCAAUAAAAUUACAAAAUGAAGAGCGUAUUUGUCAAAGAAGACAAUGUGUUAGAAAAUGAAUUUGUCCAACUAUAAUAGAGACCGUGUGGCUGGAAUCUUGUAAAUUUUUUGAUGAAGGUCCUAUCCUCUCUUCAAAUCCUCUCUUUAUUUUAUAAUAGAUGUGCAUUUAGGACCUAAUAAUUAUAAAGCCUCUACCUUAAUAGAUUUAGGAGCCUCACCUUCUUUCUUAGACAUAAAAUUUGUUAAAAAUCAUAAAAUACCAUUAGUAUGAAAAACCAAACUUGUUCAUGUAGAAUUCAUAGAUGGUCGUCCAUUGUAUCUUGGAAAUGUUACUCAUAAAACACUUCCUAUAGAUAUAUCAAUAAAUGGUCAUAGUAGUUGUAUAAUCUUUAAUAUAAUUAGAUCUCCUUCUAAUCCAGUCAUUUUAGGUUUAUCAUGGUUAAAAAAGUAUAAUCUUUAUAUAGAUUGGAUUUCUUGUAUCCUUGACUUCAAUAAAAGUAUAAUUAAGAGUAGAAUUAAUCAAGAAGAAAGUCAUAAGUCUAGUGUAAUUAAAUCUAUGUUUAUAGGUGCAAGAGCUUUCUUGCAUGCUGCAAAAGAAGGAUCACCUUAUGUCAUUUAUGCCACACCUAUUUCUAAUGAUGCAAAGACUUCAAGAGGCAUUCCUAGAUAAUAUUAAGAAUUUCAAGAUGUAUUCGAAAAGAAGAAUGCACAUGCUCUUCUAAAACAUAGUCCCUAUAGCUGUUGAAUUGAACUUCAAGAAAGAGCACAACUACUAUUUGGACCAAUCUAUAGUUUAUUACAAAAUAAAUUGGCUAAAUUCAAGGAAUAUAUUGAAAAAAAUCUGACAAGAAUUUCAUAUGCUAUUCCAAAUCACCAACAACAGCUCCAAUCUUAUUUCUUAAGAAGAAAGAUGGAUCAUUAUGGAUGUGUGUUGAUUAUUGAGGACUCAACAAAAUCACCAUGAAGAAAAUGUAUCUUCUACCUUUGAUAUCCGAACCUCUUGAUCAACUAAAUCAAGUUAAGAUCUAUACAAAAAUAGAUCUACAAAGAGCAUAUAAUCUAGUACGUAUUAAAGAAAGAGAUAAAUGAAAGACUACAUUUUGAACUAGAUAUGAACAUUUUGAAUAUAACGUCAUGCCUUUUGGUCUUACAAAUGCACCAGCACCUUUAUGAUAUCUAAUGAAUGAUGUUUUUUGAGAGCUUUUAGAUGAUUUUGUUGUCUAUUAUCUAGACAACAUCUUGAUCUAUUCUAAGAAUAUAGAUGAACAUGAAAUUUAUGUUCAUUGUGUAUUAAAAAAAUUAAAAGAUGCAUGACUCUAUACCAAGAUAAAAAAGUAUAUAUUCUACACUACUUAAGUUGACUUCUUAAGAUACAUCAUUUUGAAUGAUGGACUUAUGAUGGAUCCUAAAAAAAUUUAAACGAUUAUGGAUUGGAAGAUUUCAAAAAUGAUAAGAGAUGUCCAAUGCUUUUUGGGCUUUGCCAACUAUUAUCAAAUCUUCAUCAAAGAAUUUUCUUGAGUUGUAGCUCCACUUAUAUGUUUGACUUAUAAAAACAAACUUGAGUGGAGCAAAGAAGCUGAAGUAUCUUUUGAAACUUUAAAAUCAGCCUUUAUUUCUGUACCAAUUUUAUAUCGCAUCAACUUUUGUGAGUCACCAAGUUGACUCACUUAUUGUUUUAGGAUAAAAAUAUGCAUUUAGAAUGCUUUAAAUCACAAUAUAUAGUGAGUAGUAUAAAAAUCCUUUGAGAAAUAGAAAAUUAGAAUGUUAAUGGUGGAGAUGGAAUCUUAAUAAGUCUUAGAGAUAAUUAUCUUUGUUGGUUUAGUAUUUUUAUUCAUUAUUGAGUAUUAAGGAUUAUUUAUUAAGACCAAUAAUUAUAUUAGUAUUCUAUCUAUAUGUAUUAUUUAUAAAAACUAUAAAUUUUAGUAGUUAGAAAAAGCAUAAGAAAGCACCUCAUGUCAUUUAAGUUAUUGAUAUAAAAAAUAGAAUCUAUAGUAGAGUUAAAUUAAUAUUUAUUAUUAUCAAAAACCACAAAGGUAGGAAAAUAUAGCCUUGCAUGGAUAUUAGAAUUAUAGAAAUAUUAUAGGAUUUUUCAAAUUUUAUUUAGAAUUUAUUUAUAAUUUUUUAGGAAUUUUUAGAGCAAUAUUUAAGAUUUAGGUAAAAAUGAGUUUUAUCACUUCGGAAGCCAUUAGGAAGAAAGGGAGUAAGAUUUGAAAGCCACUAUAAGUUCCCAAGCUAAUUGGGUAUUUUUAAACACCAUGGUGAAGUCAAAAAUAUAAAAAAAAUGAGUUUUACUAGUAGAAAAUAGGAGGACCAACAACUAGUCUUGUCGUUGUAGGAAGGAAGGUGUAUAAGUCCUAUAUAGGUUGUAGCACCUUGGAUAUAGGUAGGAAGAUAAGACUAAGGCCUCAAGGCCUCUUUAGACACCUGAUAUACUCUACAUGUGAGCCUUGGUGAGGCUCGAACCCUUGACGUAUAAGCAAGUUAUCCUUGAGGUAAAACAUUUUCUCUUAACUUUUAUUUAUUUACUUAUUGUUUUUAAACCUUCAUAACUUACUCAUAGUAACUCGGAUUUACAUGUUUCUUACAUCAUUGGAAAGCUUAAAAAAUUAACUUCCUAAAAAUAUACUUUUUACUUUUACUUUUUAUUAGAUAAAAACUUUGUGAACCGACUAUCACCGAGUUUUGGAGUGUGUAUUUGCUUGUAUACAUUCCUUUCACUUAUUUGUGUUGUUUCUUCUUUUGUUCUUGUUCAUUGCAUCUUCCACUUUACACUACCUAUUAUAAGCAUUUCUUAAUUGAGGCCAUCUUGUAAUUUGGAUAGAGGGGUGAAAUUUACACUCACAUUUUGGUGCGUUUGCCGGGAGAUGGUGCUUCUAAUGGUGUAUGUGAAUGUGAAGUUUGCUUGUUGUGAUUGAUCUUGGUUGGUUUUGUUGAGUGAGGAAUUCAAGUAGCUCAUCAUUAGCAGUAAUUAUUCUUCAUCUCUUCCUUAUUGGGGUAAGCAAAGCAUUUCUAUUUCUCAAUUUAGAAAAUAGUCACAAAUUUCAUUGUUAAGUUAGAUGUUGAUUUGCUCCCGGAUUAUUGUCAAUAAAUUUUUGGGUGUUUGAUAUUUGUAGUUGAAAAUUUGGUAGUUUAUGUAUCUUGCUGUUAGCUUUCUAAAAAUUUAUUAUACGCUCAAUUUGGAGCUAUAACGAAUUUGUGGUGAAUUUUCGAACACAAGAGGAUUCACUGCCUUAGCAGUUUCAUGUAUCCUGUCUUAUACAAGGCAUUUCUUAGUGCCGGGUAAUUAUUUUACAGUGAAAAUUUCUAGGUACAAGGACUUAAAAUUUGGAGUUGUAGUGGUGCAAAAUUCAAUGCUUUUGAAUCAAAAUUGAAUUUGUAGCGACUUCUGGAGGAGAGAGAGGUUGCUGCCUUGAGCAAAUACAAUUGAGGUUAGUGAUUUCUACCUCUUCAAUCAUUUACAUUGUUGAUUUUAUGUUAUGCUUUUAAAUUUUGUGUUUUAUAUUUUCUCUCAACUAUAAAUAAUAAUAAUAAAAAUAAAUAAAAAUAUAAAAUAAAUAUAAAUAAAUAAAUAAAUAAGAAUAUUAAAUAAAAUAAAUAAAAUAUAAUAAAAUACUAAUAAUAAAUAAUAAUAUAAUUAUUAAAAUAAAUAAAUUAUUUUAUUAAUAAAAAUUAAAAUAAAUUGAUAUUUUAAUUAUUUAGAAUAAGUAAAAAUUAAAGUAAAAAAAUUAAAGUAAAAUUUAAAAUAUCAAUUUAUUUUAAUUUUUAUUAAUAAAGUAAAAAAAUAUAUUUUUAUUUUUAUUCUUAUUUUUUCUUUUAUUUUAUUUUACCUUAUUUUAUUUCAUUUUUUUUCUUUAUUUUUAUAUUUACUUGCCUUUUAUCUUAAUUUUUUUUUCAAUUUUUACUCUUAUUGUUAUUUAUUGAUAUUAUUUUUCUUUUUUAUUAGAUGCAUUAUAAGUUUUAUAUAUUGACUUAAGUCUAGGAUGUUUUUAAUUAUUAAUUAAACUAUUUUUUAUGCAAAAUUAUUAUUCCUAACCUUAAAUAAUAUUGGAUUAGUUUAGUAUUAGUAUUAGCAUUAUGUGGUGGUUUUCUUAGGAUUGCUUGUCACUUCCUAAGCAUCAAAGGCGGAGGUCGUCUUCAAAAUUUCAUCACUCCCUCUUUUUAUAAAUUUUCUAGUUUAGGGCCUUUCUCUAGUGAUAGGGAGAUUUAAUCACUCCCUCCACCUCUUGUACCAUCUCUUUGCAUCUUUGUAAAUUUCCAAUGGAGGACCUUUCUCUAGUAGUAGGGAGAUUUAAUCACUCCCUCCACCCCUCAUAUCCCUUCUAUUCAUAGGAAUAAUGUAGAAAGAGUUUAAGUAGAAUUCAAAAAAAUUCUAUAUCAACAAAAGAAAAAAAGAUUCAAAAAGAAGAAAUAGGUAGAAGGAUUAGAUAGAAGGAGUUUAGAACAAGUAAAAAAAAAAAAAAAAAAAAAAAAAAAAACCAAUAAGUUCAAAUUAUAAUCCAAGAUGAGUAUAUUUUUAACAAAAUUUAUUUAGUUUCAAAUUUAUUUUGCUAACACAGAUUAUGGUUUGAGGAAAAGGAGCAUAAGAAGAAAGGAGAAAAAUAUUAAUAGCUUACAACCAAGUAAGUCCUUAAACUUUGUCAAUUAUGCUUUCUUUGAAAUUUUAAAAAAUUACUUGAAUACAAGAAGCAGGAGCUAAGAAUUGGAGGGUAGAAUCUAAGAGGAAGACACAAGAGAAGUAAGUUUCUAAUCUCUCUUGUAGAUAUAGAUGGGAGAAGAUAGAUAGAACUUUUAAUCCAUUAUCUUUAAACCUUAAAUCCUUACUUAAAAUGUUUAGUCGAGAUUGGCUAAGAAAGAAGUCACAUAAUCUAGAAGUUUGUUAACAAGUGAUAAGUUUGCUAGAGAUGUAACUAGGUGAGUUCUUCUUCAAUGUGGUAUGAAUUAUUUGCAAGGAAUUAUUUUUUUAAUGUAAACUUUGUUGUUAACUAUUAUAGUAGAUAAUUCGUUAACUAUCUUAUUGUAAAAAAAAAAAAAAAAAAAAAAAAAAAAACUUGGGCUCCUUGCCAUCCUUGUAUAGAAUUCUUUUUCACAACUAAGAUUGCUUAAGGUCACUCUUACACAACAGUAAUUUUGUAUAAUAAUUAAAAUUAUAAAUAGUCCUACUUAGGGUGAUACUUAAGCAAGCAUUCCUCCUUUAGUUGUUUUUCUUUUCUUUCCCUUCUAUGUCGGAAGGUACUAUAAGUGGAUUGCAGAUAGAAGAGCCAAAAUAUUUUAAUUGGAUUUUGUAGAGAUAAGUAUGUUUAAAUUAUGAGUCUAAGUAAAUUUUAUAUCAAUAAUCAUGUUAGAUGUAUCAUUCCACUAAAUCUAGACAACCUAAAAUAGUCCCAUCCAUUGAAAAUCUGGAGAAGGCUAUUCAAAAAUCUACACCACAAUUUAGAAGAAUUGAGGUCCAAAAAUUAGAAAAAGAAGAUUUACCUAUAACAUCACAAGACAUAUUUGUAAUGAAUCCAUUGGAAUUAAAUCCUAACCAAGUGGUAGGAGAAAAAAGGUUGAAUCAUAGAUCUCUUAAUUUUUUCCUGAGAAUAAAUCAAGAAGGAAAAGAGUCAAGACCUAGUUUUUCUUCAAUGGAUUACGGAAGAGAAGCCUUUCCAAAUUCUAUACCCAUAAACCUUUUGGUUCAGCGAAGAGGUUUGCUCAUUGUAAUUCCAGAGGGAUUGCAAGUACCUCCUAUGUCCUAUAAUCUCUCUAUAUUUAAAGGGACUAGAGACGAUGAUCUAUUGGUAUACGUGGAAAGAUUCAUAGAACUUCUUAUGACAUGUUUAAUAACCAAUCCCAUGUUGUAUUGUGGUUUGGCUACCAUAUGAAAAUAAUAUAAUUAUUUACUUAAUAUAUAAUUUACUAAGUAACAUGGUGAGAGCCAUGUUAAUAGAUUUUAGUUGGUUGUAGAAUAUAAUUUUAUUAUUAACUUGAAAAGAGGUUGUUUAAAAAGAUUACUAUAAAAUUUAUAUAAUUUUAAUUUCUUUUUUGAUAGUGGGUUUUAAGAUUGGUUUUGGUUGAUAAUAACUUCUAAAUAAUUAGAGUCAUCAUUCUUAGACAUUGGUGACAUUUGAAAACUUAUUUUGAUUCUUUUAUUUGGUGUUUAGAGUAUAAAUUAUAUAAAUCUUAGAAGAAAAGGGAUUGAAGAAGGAUUUUGGUAGAAAAGGGAGUAAUUAGGGCACCAAUAUAGAUGAAUGGAGAUAGAUGAUGAAAAUCUCCAUUCGUAUUGGUCAAAAAUCAUGACCAAUAGGCUUUGAGGAGGCUGCCCGAGGCCAUAUUAGGGAUUAGGAUUAGCUUUUCGGGCCAUUGGAGCUCUGAAGGCUAGGGUCAGCAAGUUUAGGUUUUUGGCUAUGGUUUUGGUGCAAAUUUUGUAUGGUUUGGAGUUUAUAUGAAGGAGAUAUAGGCUCUCAAAGUUAAGGUGUUGAUUUGGGAGCUACUAUCACUCGUUUUGGCAUAACACACGAGUACAGAUGGCAAUUGAGGAUCAAUGACUGCGACUAAAGAGACUACUUUUACAGCUAUACUUUUUGCAUAUCACUUGCUGAAUUCCAAGUUGAAGUAAAGGAGUUAUUGGAUUUUGAAGUUAGCACAUGCAAUCUAAGGGUAGUAAUGACCCAAUUUACUAGUCAUUGUGACUUGAGCUAUAUCUUGAGCAAUUUGACAAGGUUUUGGCUCAAAAUUUUAGAGAAUAUGUAUAUUCAUAUUAGUAAAAUUUUUAUGAAAGUUUGAUGACAUUUGAGUAUUGAAUUCUUGAGAUAUUAAGAAAAUAGUACUCAGGUACUUGUAAAUUAGGGUUUAGAGCGUCUACUAGGGUUUCUUAGAUACUAAAAGUUUGGAAGUGAAUUUAUAGUUGGUUUUUUUUUGGUAAAAGCUAAGAGUGAAUUCUAACUAUCUUUUAAAUGUUAGACAAAUUAAACAGUUAGAUCAAGAGUUAUGAAUUUCUAAAGUUCAAGAAAAAAAAUUCAUUCGUGGGAAAAAUAUGUUUUGAAGGGAUUUUGUUAUAUUUUAAGUUUUAUACAAAAUAAAGGAGUUUUGGAAGCUAAAAAAAGAUUCAUAUAAAGAUUUAAGCUAAACUAUCUACAAUAAGAUAUCCAAUGUAUUUCUAAAUAGCAAAUCACGCUAUACGACAAACUUGGUGAAUCCGAUGUGAAAAUUUCUAGAGUAGAGAGUUUUGAAGAAAUAUUUUGGCUUUCUAAUAUAGAAGGAGGGUAAGAGAGUGGUAGUAGGGAUUGCACUAGGAUAUCUUCAUUGCAAUUUGAUCCUACUACAAUUCAAAUUUUUCAAGUAUUUAUGUUUUUUAUGCAACAACAAUAAGUAGUGGAACACAAGUAAGUAAUGGCUAUUGAAGCCUUGUAAUCUAUUAUUGGUUUAUUAGAUCAAUUUGAUGGAAGAAAUAUUUCUAAGUAUCUUAAGUAUUAUUCUUAGAAGAUGGAGCUCAAUAAAGUGUCGAAGAAAGAUAUGAUCCUAACAUUUGAGCUUGCAGUUGUACUAGAGCUUUGUGAGCAUAUAAGAGGGAUUCUUCAAACUCAUGGAGAGAAAUAGGAGGAUUUUAUCCUUCAGCUAAAAGAAGAGUAUUCUUUGGAAGAUACAGAAAGGAUGACAAGAAAAUUGUUUAUGAAAUGGGUUAAUAAAUCCAACAAGGAAUUGGUUGCAAUAGAGUUAUUCUGAGAAUUUGAAAGACAAUUUCUUCAAUUGUCUUGAGUAGAAAAGCUUACACUUGAAAAUGAUAAGAUAGAGUUAUUUCUUCAAUUAACUAGCAAUGAUUUACAAAGAAAUUUGGAAUUACUAUUGAAAGAUAAUAGAGAGGACAAUGGACAUACUAUUGAUUAAAAGAAAGUCUUUGAAGUUGUGGAAAUACUUGCUAAAAGAGAGUACCGAAGGGGUAAGGUGGUAGUAAGGCAAGAGACUAGACCUCCAUCAACUACAAUACCUUGUAGACAACUGCCACAACUUGCUAUACUAGUAAGUACUAUUCCAAUUCCUAUGUCUAUAGUUACACCAUAGAAAGAUGCGAUUGAUGAGUUAGUAAAAGGAAUGAAAGACUUACAAAUCAAAUUGGCAAAGCUAAAGGAAAAAAAAUGAUUACUUGAGAUCAAACCUGCAUCAAAAUAAGGAUAUAUACAAAGAUGUAUUUGGUGUGAUAGUAUUGAGCAUUCUCACAAGGAAUGUAGAGAUUCUACUAAUAUUUUGUGAUAGUUAGUAAUUUUAUGGAAAGAUGGAAAAAUUGCGUUGCGAGAUAGAUGUGAGUUUCUCAAAACCAAUUUUGGAAAAGGAGGGAUGAAGAAGGUUUUGGAAGAGCAUUUAUCACAACAAGCUAUGGCAUCAAGUGAGGCUAUUAUUUAUGGCAUUGAGGCUAUAAAGAAGAAGGAGGAUAUUUUUGACAAGCAUGUAAAUACAAGGGAUCUAUAGAAUCAUGCUAUUAUCAGCAUGAAUAAAGAAAAAAAUAACAAGACAAGAAUUACUUAAUACAGCCACAAUAAUUAGAAAUGCCACAAGAUAGGAUGACCUUUAGAUACUAUGUCUGUACAUGCUUAUUUGGUAAAAUCCUAACAUGAAGCUCUAAUAGAGGUAAAAAGAGAAAGAAAUGAAAUAGAAAAAAAUUUUGAAGAGCCAACCAAUAAGAAGAGAUCUCAAAGGCAUAUAAAAAUAAUACUAAAUAAAGAAAUACUUAUACUAUAAGCUAAUAGACCAUCAAGGGCUCGGCCAUCGACAUUGCACCCUGAAAAUGCACCACUGCCUAAAAAAAAAUGGAAAGAAAGGAUAGAGGUUGAUAAAGACAAAGGAUAGAGUAAGCAUAUUACUUAUAAGCUACAAUCACAUAUUGAGGUAGCCACAAAUUUGAAAGGAGUGUUGGAAGAAAGAGUAUUAAAUGCCAAAAUUGAGUGUUGGAAGAAAGAGUAUUAAAUGCCAAAAAAUAGUAUUAAAUGCCAAAAUUGAGUUUCAUGAUGUCAUCAUUGACACCAUUAAGUGAAAGAGGUAAUUGACAAGAAAAUUUGAUAUAUCUAAUGCUUUAGAUACAAUCUUGACUAAAAAAGAAGAACAUAAAUUGGCAAAAUUUUGUACCAAUAAAAAGGUACAAUUUGAUUUGGAUAAAUACAAGGAUAUUGACAAGGGCCUUGGACACUAUAUUAAGGGAUAUUGGGCUAGAGCCACUACAGAGACUUUAGUAGAAAUGAAAGACUUAGUAGAACCAAUAAUUAUUCUUAUUGGCAAUAGAUUUGAAAUUAAUAUUAUGUCAAAAGAAGUCUACAAAUGUAGAAGGUGGUCCAUUGAUAUUAACCAUGGUUGAGUGAUUUUGGCAGCAAAUAAUAUACAUGGAGAUCUUUAUGGUGCUUGCCCAAAUGUAAAGAUAAAAAUUGGAGAUGUGACCACAACACAAUUUUAUUUUGUUCAAGAUACUACUUCAUACCUAGUGAUUCUUGGUCAACCAUAUAUUAUGGCUGUGAGGAUGGAGACGAAGAUUUUCGAUGAUGGAUCAGCAUGUGCCUGUAUGAGAAGUCAAGAUAGAAAAAGAGCAGUGUAAUUUCUAAUAGUACCUACAAACCAUAAGCACAAUCAGGAUUAUUUACUAAGUGAUUUAUUACCAAGGGUUAGUGAAGAGUUUACAAAUUUUUACAUGGUACCACUAUAAAGCAGGAAUAUAGUGGUACAUCAAUGAAGGUACUCUCGUAUGAAAAAAAAAAGUACCUUUUGUACAAGUGUUGUAGAAUUAUCUAAGAAUGGAUUUGCUAUCUAUACACAAUUUAAUGAUCUAUCAAAGUGGAAGAAAAAAGUUAUACAAAAAUCUGAAAAAGACCUAAAAAGAGUAGGUGUGCUUGAUAUAGAUGAUAAGAUAGUAGGUGUAUAUAUGGAGAGUGGUUUAAAAGAUUUUAUGGAAGAACUUUUAGAAGUUGAAUAAGAAAAUGAAGAUCAAGUGGUGCAAGUACAAUCAAGAGAGCUCUACUCAAGUAUACAAGCAUUUCAAGAUUAUGAAGUCAAAGUUAAAACUAGGUAUAAACCUGUGGAGAGGAAAAUAAAACUUGUAGCUAUACCAUUACCUAGUGAUUCUAAUGAUCAAAUUCAACAAGCUUUGAAGGAGAAGGGCUUAUAGGAUCCUAAAGAAAUUCGCCACAAGUUUAUCAAGAACACACUCAAUGAAUUGAAAGUAGGAUCUAUAAAUUUUCUUUUACCUGUUGAAGAAAUAGAAUUUAGAAAUAUAUUAAGUAUGCAUAGAAAGGCUUUUGCUUUUGAAUCCUUAGAAAUUAUGUGUGUCAAUCUAAGUGUUGUGGCACCAAUGAUUAUAUUUGCAGUUCCACAUGUUUUUUGGGAUUUAAGACCAAUUUCAGUACCUAAAGGGCAUCUACCUAAAGUUAUAGAGAUUUUAAAAGAAAAGAUGUAAAUGAAGAUCCUAGAACCAUCAUUUGUACUAUAUUUUAGUCGUUGGUUUACAGUACCAAAGAAAAAUGGAACACUAUGGUUCAUUCAAGAUAUGCAACCAGUGAAUCAAGUGACCAUUAGAAAUACCGGGUUGGACCAAUUAUUGGAGAAUUUGCUAAGGCAUUUGUUAGUAGAGCUAUUUACUCUAUUGGAUAUCUCUAUUCUAGAUAUGAUCAAUUUCAACUAGCUGAAAGAAGUAAAGAUAUCACUACUUUGAGGACACCUUUAGGAUUGGUUAGGAUGUGUACAUUGCUACAAGGAGCAACAAACUCAGUAGCUUACAUGAUGAAUGGGAUGAAUAAGGUUCUUUGUGAUUUCAUUCCAAAAAAGACUAUGCCCUUCUUGGGUGAUAUUUCAAUAAAAAGGUGUGUGGAAGAAGAAAAAAAUGAAACAAUGGAUCAAAAGAGGUGCCAUAAAUUUGUAUCUAAUUAUAUUUCACACUAUGAAAAAAAUUUAUCUCGACUUGAAGAGGUUCAUUUGACACUAUUAGGAGCUAAAUCUACCUUUGGAGUUUGAAGAGUUGUUAUUGUGAGACAUUUACGUAGGUGGUUUGGUUGCAAACCUGAUUCUAAUAAGGUGGAUGUCAUAUAAUGGAUGAAAGAUAUUUGUAGCUCACAAAUAGAGGUAUGGAGGAUUUUAGGAGCUUGUAUAUUUUAUUAUGUAUCAAUUCCUCAUUAUACACAUGAAGUUGAUCCUCUUUAUUGUAAGUUAGAAAAAGGGUAGAGAUUUAAAUGGGAGAAGAAGCACACAGAAAAAAUUCAAAAGCUAAAGCAAUUAUUAUCUUCCCUACCUAUAUUAUGAAGGAUAAGUUAUGAAGAUGGCAAAUUUGUGAUACUUACAAUCGAUACUAGUCCAAUAACUGUUGGUUGGACUUUAGGAAAAAAUGAUGAAGAAGAUAACAAGUUUGCUAUUAGAUUUGGAGCUAAAGUAUUAAGUGAAUAACAAAGAAAUUAUCCACAGCAAUUCUAGGAUACAACAAGGAGAGGAUGAAUAUCCAAGACCAUUUACAAAAGAAUUAUAUGAAGAAGAAUGGAUUGAUAUUGGACACUAUUUAAGCACAUUAUCAAGACAAUUAAGAUGGAGUGAUACUCAUUUCAAACAGAUUAGAUGGAAGGCUUACAACUACCUCUUACAAGGUGGUUACCUAUGGAAGCGAUGCAAAUGAGAUAGUAGAAUGCUACAGAGAGUAGUUUGUAAGAAAGAGAUGCAAGAACAAUUAAUCCAUGAAUUCUAUGAUAGUUUGUGGAUUGGACAUAGAGAUAUUUAUACCACCUUUAACAAGCUCAAAAAAAAAUAUUGGUGGCAUUGUUGUAUUGUAAUUUAUUCAUAGUAUAAAAAUAAUGGUUAUUAUAUUGAUAUUAUUUAAUAAUGACCUUAGAAAAUAAUGAAUUAUUUUCUAUAGAAUUUCAUAGUUUAUAGAAAUCUUAAAUAACUUGUAUAAAUUUUAUAAGUAAAAGUAGAAGUAUUAGGGUUAUUUAAUAUGAAAGAUGUAGAAAGAUAUGAAUAUUGAUAUUAUAGUAUUGUGGCCUUAGGCCAUCUACGUGGAUAGAUAAGGCAAGGACAAGAGGAUCUUCACUCUCAUUGGCUAUAGGUCAUGACCAAUAAGCUUCAAUGGACUGUCUAAGAGAUAACUGAAGCAGAGGCUACUUCUUCAUAGGGAAUUCGAGGGUUUAGAGGAGAGAUUCAAAAAUCUUGUGUUUUGGGCUAUAAUUUUGGUGUAUAAAGUUUGUUAUUUGAGUUUUGUAUGAAGAAGUUAAGGUUGUUUGAAGUUAGGAUGUGAAUUGUUUAUCGACUAUCACUCUUUUAAGCAUACAGAAAGUUGUAGAAGGAGUUUUAGAAAACGAAAGGUGUCGUUGGAAAGCUGGUUUGAAAGAAUACAAUUUUUGUGAAGGGAUUAUUAAUUUUGAGUCUACAAUAAGAGAGUUAUGGCUGUUUAAAGUCUGGAUGUGAAAUUUGUACCUACUAUCACUCUUUCAAGCAUACAAAGAGUUAUAGAAAGGCAUUUAAAAAUCAAAAAGUGGAGUUGGAAAGUUGACUUAAAGGGCUUCAAUUAUUGUAUAUGAUUUGAUAAAAAUAGAUCUGAAGUGAGAAAGAAAUGGCUAGUCGAACUCAGAGCUUGCAAAUUAAGGAAGUAAGUGAACAAAAUUGUUGAUGGUUAUGUUUUGAGCCAUUUUUUUUGAGAAUUUUUUAAUUAAUUUUGGCUCAAAUUUUCCAAAGUUGUAAUUAUAAUAUUGAGAAGCUACACAAAAAAAAUUCAUGUCAUUUAAGUAUUGGAUUUGUAAGAAAUUGCAAAAUCAGUAUUUAGGUGUUUGUAAGUCAACAUGUAAAGGCCGUGCUACUGAAAUUGUGUUAUCUAGAGUUUUGUAAUGAAUCGAUAGUUGAAAAUUGGAUAUAAAAGAGUUAAGUAUACUGCCUUACUUCUCAGAUAAUUUGAGCUCAAUGUAAUGGUUGGAUUGAUAAUUAUCAAAUUUUAAAUUUCAGUGCAUCGAAGAGAUUCGGUAUUGAAGGAAUUUUGGUAUUACAAGGAUUAUACUACCACAAAAAGGAUUUUGGAAAUUAUGAAAGAUUUAAAAAUUAUUGAUUGAUUUUACUAUUAUUGGAGGUCUAGUAAUUAUUAUUUAUUGCUACAAAUUUUACUAUUAUUGGAGGUCUAGUAAUUAUUAUUUAUUGCUAUAACUUUUACUAUUAUUAGAGGUUUAGUAAUUAUUAUUUAUUGCUAUAAUUUUUACUAUUACUAGAGGCUCGAUAAUUAUUAUUUACUGCUACAACUUUUAUUAUUACUGGAGGUCUGGUAAUUUUUAUUUAUUGCUAUAAUUUUUAUUAUUAUUAAAGGUCUAGUAAUUAUUAUUUAUUGCUACAACUUUUACUAUUACUAGAAGCUUGGCAUUUGAUGUUUAUUGCUACUAUGUUUAAUAUCAUAGAAAGGAAUAAAAAUAAAAUUAUAAAUAAUCUUGGAGUAUUUUUCAUCUUAUGAUUAAUUGAGAAUUUAGUAUCAGCCAAAAGUCCAAUGCUUUCUUAAGGCAAAGUCUCUUUUUUCCAAUAGUGUAACAUAUAUAGAGAUGUGGUGGAGUUUGUAGAAUCAUGCCAGACUUGUCAGAUAUACUCGAAGAUUCAACAUAGCGAUGGAUUGCAACCUACAUAUCUACUUGCAAUACAUUAUAAAUAGAUUGUAGACCUAGUUACUAUACCUAUAGAAAUAUGGCAAAUACAGUACUUGGCUCUGGCAUGAGAAGAUUUAUCUAACCAAGUAGAAGAAAGAGCUCUACGAACAAAAUCCACUAAAGGAGUUUGUAGAUUUUUACUGGAAGAUGUGAUUUGUAGAUAUAGAUGUAUUAGAAAAAUUACUCCUGAUUUUAGAGAAUUGGAUGCACAUAAUGCUAGAUAAUUCUUUGAGAGAUGUGGAGUCAAGCUAGCACUUACUACAUCUUAUAAUCCGAAAGGUAAUGCUAAGAGUGAGCAAGUUCAUAUUCCUAUUGUAAGGACCAUUGUUAAAGCUUACAAAGGAAGAGCAAGAGAAUGGCCAAGGUUGUUACAAUUUGCUCUUUGGACUGAUCAUACUACUCACAGUUCAGUGUCAGGAUAUAUGCAAACAGAGUUAAUACAAGGACAGAAGUCCAUUAUACCAAUUAAAGAGAAAAUACCUACUUGGAGUAUCUUACCUUGGCAAGACAAUAUAUCUAAAGAAGAACUUCUUGUACUUCGAAUUUAUCAAUUAGAGAGAAGACCUCAAGAUGUAGAAAAAGUAAUUAUAAGGCUGAGGGAGUCGCGCUUGAAGAGUAAAGAUAGAUUUGCUAAGCGACACAAGUUGAGUCCAAAAGAUAUUCAAGAAGGUGAUUGGGUUUUAGCAUAUGACAACAGCUUAGAUAACUAACAUAGUACUCUUAAAAAGUUUCCUAAGUAUUGGUUUGGAUCUUAUGUAGUUGUACAUGUUUUGGAUAAUGCUACACAUGUAUUAAAAGAAUUAAAUGGAACAAGAUUCAAAAUUCAGAUUGCAGAAAAACGUAUAAAACUUUUCAACAACUAGAUCAAGAACUACUCUUUGAAGAUGUUGAAGAAGAGUUUGAUCUAUCUAGGUAUGAAGAAGAAGAAUUAGAUUUUGAAGAAGACAAUAUUAAGGAAGUAAUAGAACGCCGACCACAACUUUGGUUCUUCUUGGUACAUAUCGAAGCAUGCAUAGGUUUAGAGGAGGUAGAUAUCAUGUUGGGGUUCGGCUACCAUAUGAAAAUAAUGUAAUUAUGUACUUAAUAUAUAAUUUAUUAAGUAACGUCGUGAGAGCCAUGUUAAUAGAUUUUAGUUGGUUGAAGAAUAUAAUUUGAUUAUUAACUUGAGAAGAGGUUGUUUAAAAAGAUUACUAUAAAAUUUGUAUAAUUUUAAUUUCCUUUUUGAUAGUGGAUUUUAAGAUUGGUUUUGGUUGAUAAUAACUUCUAAAUAUUUAGAGUCACCUUUAUUAGACAUUGGUGACAUUUGAAAACUUAUUUUGGUUCUUUUAUUUGGUGUUUAGAAUAUAAAUUAUAUAAAUCUUAUAAGAAAAAGGAUUGAAGAAGGAUUUUGGUAGCAAAGGGAGUAAUUAGGUCACCAAUAUAGAUGAAUGGAGAUGGAUGAUGAAAAUCUCCAUUCGUAUUGGUCAAAAGUCAUGACCAAUAGGCUUUGAGGAGGCUGCCUGAGGCCAUAUUAGGGAUUAGGGUUAGUUUUUCGGGGCCAUUGGAGCUUUGAAGGCUAAGAUCAGCAAGUUUAGAUUUUUGGCUAUGGUUUUGGUGUAAAUUUUGUAUGGUUUGGAGUUUAUAUGAAGGAGAUAUAGGCUCUCAAAGUUAAGGUGUUGAUUUGAGAGCUAUUAUCACUCGUUUUGGCAUAACACACGAGUAGAGAUGGCAAUUGAGAAUCAGUGACUGCGACUAGAGAGAGCACUUUUUUAGCUACACUUUUUACAUAUUGCUUAUUAGAUUUUAAGUUGAAGUGAAGGAGUUAUUGGAUUUUGAAGUGAGCGCAUGCAAUCUAAGGGUAAUAAGUAACCCGAUUUACUAGUGGUUGUAUCUUGAGCUAUAUCUUGAGCAAUUUGAUAAAAUUUUGGCUCAAAAUUUUAGGAAAUGUGUAUAUUUAUAUUAGUAAAAUUUAUACGAAAGUUUGAUGAUAUUUGAAUAUUGGAUUCUUGAGAUAUUAAGAAAAUAGUUCUCAGGUGCUUGUAAAUUAAGGUUUAGAGUGUUUGCUAGGGUCUCUUAGAUGCCAAAAGAUUGAGGGUGAAUUUGUAGUUGAUUUUUUUUUUGGUAAAAUUUAUGGAUAAAUUCUAACUAUCUUAUAAAUUUUUAAUAAAUUGAAUGGUUAGAACAAGAGUUAUGAAUUUCUAAAGUUUGAGAAUAGAAACCCUUUGUGGGAAAAAUAUGUUUUGAAGAGAUUUUGUUAUAUUUUGAGUUUUAUGCAAAAUAAAAGAGUUUUAGAAGCUAAGAUAAGAUUCAUAUAAAGGUUUAAGCUAAACUCUCUACAGCAAGAUAUCCAAUAUAUUCCUAGAUAGCAAAUCAUGCUAUAUGACACCAAGUUAUUAUCUUGUGUAGUUUUCAAGUAUCCUAAAGGAUGGAGCUUAUGAAUGGUAUAGAAACCAUCUCUCUCAAACCUUUCAGAACUAAGACAUGCUUAUGAGAGCAUUCUUAGAAAAGUUUAGGCUAGAAGUAGGGCAAAGCAACACCUUUAUAGUCCUUUCUUCUUUGAGGCAAGAAAAGAGGGAAGAAAUCACUAAAUAUAUUUGGCAAUUUUAGCUUGUAAUAACCAAAUCCAUUGGAAUCCUUCUCAUGGAUGAUACCCUCACUCAUUUCUUUAUUCAAGGAUUUAAUAGUGAGGGAACAAUUCGAGAGAUCUUCAAGGGAAGACCAAAUAAUUUGGAAGAGGCCAAAAAAUUAGCUUGAGUGAUUGAAAAUAUUGAUAAGUAGUAAGAGCAAAUGUGAAAGAAGGAAGAUUAUAGAAUAUCUAACUUCAUUUCAAUACAUGCUCAAAAUAUAGGAAAUUUCCAAGGGCAUUUAUAUGGGACUAAGGAAACUCAAUUUCCAACUAUACACCACUAACUAACAACUUUAGAAGUUACAUUGCCUCCCAACCUUUCUGAAUUGACAUAUCCAAAAGAUAAGAAUAGAUAGAAGCAAGACUUUAAGAAUGAAGUCUUUGAAAGCCAAUAAAGAUUCUAAAAUAAACUUUCUCAAUAAAUGAAGGUUAUGCAAGAACAGAUGACUCUUUAAAUUAAUAGUCAAAAUCCAAACUAAGUCCUAUCUCCUAUAGAAUCUGAUAGACACACCUUAGGACUUUGGUGCACUUAGUGCGAUUAAUCAAGGCAUACAAGUCAAUUUUGUUCAAACCAACAAAAUCACCAACAAAAUCAAAGAGGGCUACAAUUAUAUACUCCACCUCAUAGAAACUAAGGUAUAGUAGGUUCAAAUUUCUAGUGCCAACAUCGAGAAAAUUUCAACCAUGGCUUUAAGAACUUGCAACAACAACAACAAGAAGUGUACCACUUUUACGAGAAAAGACAUCUAGAAAGUUUUUGGAUAAAAAAUAGGAUAGUAUGUGGAAAUUAUAGAAGAAACCAUCUUAAAAAUGUAUAUAAGCAACUUGACAUGAUGAUUCUUUUAAAAUGUUCACAAGAAAAUUAUCAAUAGCAAGCUCAAGAUCAAUUAAAGGAGGUAAAAAAUCCAAAUUUAGACAAUAUUUUAAGACCUCUUAACCUAUUCUAUGAUUAUAAUAAUAAUCAUCAAACCCAACAUCUCUUGUCAUGUUCAAAUAUAUAGAGAAGAUUUAUUUCAUUAAACAUAGAUCGACUUCAAAAUGCUUAAUGAAACGAGGGAAGAAAUCCACAAGAUGUAAGAUAUUUGGAAAUACCAACUGAAGAACAAGGUUUUCAACCUCUUAGAGACCAAUCGUCAUCUUCUCACACACAUUACAUCUCUCAUGAAGGAGUACCUUGUAAGGAUAAAGAACUUUUUAAUAUGCUAGCCUUGGCAGUCAUAACAAGGUCUAGAUAUAUGGGUCCUCCUCUUUCUAUCUCAAUAGAUAGUGAGAACAAUUCUGAAGACUCUCCUUAUUUUUUUGAUUUAAACAAAGUUAUAAGAGAGGCAAUGGAUAAUGUGAAGUAAGUAGGAAAAAUAUCCCAUAAUUUAGAAUCUACCACCACUCAAAAAACUAAGAUAGGAAAAAAAAAUCCUUGUAGAAGAAUUUUCUUCUAUAGAAAAAUGAGAAGGUCUUAGGAUUCGUAAAUUAGAAGGUGGUAUCUCAUUCCCUCAAAAAAAAAAAAUAAUCAAAGGGAGUCUUAUGACUUAUAAAAAGACUUGAACAAAAUCAAUGUUGACAUAACUAUUGCUCAAUUAUUGAAGGUUUUUCCAAUAAUGAAAAAAGUCUUUAAAAAAGAUUUGCCUAUUAAGAGAUACCAAAGAUCUAAGGAAAAAGUUCAAGUCCAUGUUAGAGCAAUUCAAGUGGCACAAGAAAUAAAGGCAAUUCAGUUAGAAGUAUUUAUAGUAGAUAAAAUCAUACCUUUUAUGAUUGUAGAUGGAGCUAGUAGAUUAAAUAUUAUGCUAAUAAGAACUAUGGAAAAAUUAGGACUUAGUAUCAUUAGAUCCUCUUCUUAUGUGAUUAAUAUGGCUAAUUAAAGCUAAGACACUUCUUUGGAGCAAAUUAGUGGUUGUAAGAUGACAACAUGGGGUGAAGAGUAUUCCCUCACAUUUCAUGUUAUACACAUGUAUCCUAGCAAAAAUUCAUAUCCACUGCUUCUAAGUAGACCAUGAUUAAGGGCAACAAGUGCCAAGAUUGAUUGGGGUGGUAAAAAAAUCCAUAUUAAUUAUGGUCCAUCAGAAAACCUCACAAAAAACUUCAUUCAAUCCUAAGGAUUAUUUUUGGAAAAAAAUUCAUCUCACUCUUUAGAAGAUGAGAUUCUAAACCACAACCACAAAAUGAAUUAAAAGAAAAAAAAUAAGAUUUACAAAUUUAGGAGGAAAGGAAUUGGCUUAUUCUAGUGUAAUCUAAACUACUCCAUUAAGUUGUAUGGGCCUAGGACUAUACAAUUGGAAAGAUGAUAGAAAAUUCACCCAAUGGUUGAAAAUUCAUCUUACUUCAAGUGGAGAUGAAGUUGUAAGUGUUAACUUUAUAGAUAGUUUUGCCACUUCGCAAAACAAUGAAGUAGAAGUGGAUUAAGCAACUUUGGUAGAUGACAUCAAUUUUAAAGAUGUCUUUGGAUUUAACUUUGAUAGCACUCAAGUUCACGAGCUUGAUGAGUUAAUAGAGGAAGACAUCCUUAAUCCACUUUUAUAAUUUAAAUGAACUUCUAGUGGUCUUACAAUUGGAAAUAACAUAGUUAUUUAUCCACAAAUUCCAAAUAAUUGGUAUAAAGGCCCUAUAGAAUAAACUCAUGUGCACAACCUUGAUUAGAAAUUAAUAGAUGUAUCUUUGAAGAAGGAGGAUCGAAAACUCAUCAAAGUAGGGAUUCAAUUGACAAAAGAUGAAUUGAUAUGUUACAAGUUGUUAAUUAUAGAGUAUAGGGAUGUAUUUGCAUAGUCUUAUAAAGAUCUUAAGGACAUACCUCUAAAAAUAGCCCAAUAUAGAAUCCCUCUUCUCUCUAAUUCAAUUCUUAUGACAUAAAAAGAAAGAAGAAUAAAUCCCAAUUUAGAAUUAAUUAUCAAGGUAGAAUUAAAAAAACUCCUCCAAGUAGGUUUUAUUCAACCUGUGAAAAUUACGGAUUGGAUUAUACGUAUGGUUUUAGUCAAAAAAAAGAAUAGAAAACUUUGAGAGUGCAUAGAUUAUAGGAAACUUAACAAGUGCACUCAAAAAGAUCAUUUCUUUCUUUCUUUUAUUAAUAAUACUUUAAAAAAAGUGGCAAGUCUUAAACUUUUUAGAUUUAUGGAUGUAUAUUUGGGAUAUAAUCAAAUACCCAUAACUCAAGAGUAUUCUCACAAAAUUGCUUUCACUAUGCCAUGAAGUACUUUUAUUUAUGUAGUGAUGUAUUUUGGACUUUGUAAUGCUCCAGCAGCAUUUCAAAAGGCCAUGUCCUAUGCCUUCUCUGACCUUCUAUAUAAGUCAAUGACAAUGUUCAUUGACGACUUUAGCACUCAAUUUUAUAAGACAAAAUAUUUAGAAUGUGUUCGAGCUAGUCUUCAACAUUGUCGAAAGGCUAGGAUUGCACUAAAUCUUGACAAAAUAUUCCUAACAGUUCAAAAGGAGGUUCUAUUAAGAUAUGUGGUCUCGAAAAAGGAUAGAGAACCCGAUCCAAAAAAAAUCAAAGUUAUUAUAGACUUAAAACCUCCUUCCAUGGUAAAAGAAGUACAAAGGAUGUUAGGACAUAUAGGAUGGUAUUAGGAAGUCAUACAAGAUUAUGCUACACUGUCCAUGCUUAUAACUAAACUAAUACAAAAAGAUAUGAAGUUUGAAUGGGAUAAAAAAUGACAAGAGGCAUUUGAUAUCUUUAAAGAAAAACUUAAUACCUUUCCUAUCUUAAGAUCCCUUAAUUGGUCAUUAUCCUUCGAUGUGCUUUAUAACGCUUCAUUGGUAGCCGUAGAAAGCACGUUAUAUUAAACAAGUAGAGAGAGAGGCAAGGACUAUCCUUUGCUAAUAGGCAACAAAAAAAUUCUAAUUCUAAUAGAAUACUAACAAUGCUAAACAGCUUUAAUCAAAUUCAAAGAAACCUCAAAGAAAUUUCAAAGAAAUAAUAAGAAAUCUUAAAGAAAUAUUAGAAUGAUCACAAAUUUAUCUCAAAUACAUCACAAUUCAAUCUUAAUUUAAUCCUAGUUAAAAUCCUAUUAGACUUCAUUCAAACUUUAGGCCAAAACUAAUUAAAUCUUAAAUCCUAAACAAAUCCUAAUAAAAUCCUAAACCCUAAAUCAAAUCCUAAAUUCUAAACCAAAGUCUAACCAAAUCCUAAACAAAUCCUAAAUCAAAUCCCAACCAACUCCUAAACCAAACCCUAAAUCCUAAACCAAAUCCUAAAUCUUAAAUCAAACCCUAAACAAACCCUAAAUCUUAAAUCAAAUCCUAAAUAAAUCCUAAAUCAUAUCUUAAAUCCUAAAUCAAAUCCUAAAUCAAACCCAAAUCCUAAAUCAAAUCCUAACCAAACUCUAAAUCCUAAAUCAAACCCUAAACCAAAUCUUAAAUCCUAAAUCAAAUCCUAAUCAAAUCCUAAUCUUAAAUCAAAUCCUAACCAAACUCUAAAUCCUAAUCAAAUCCUAAAUCCUAAAUCAAAUCCUAAACCAAAUCCUAAAUCCUAAAUCAAAUCCUAACCAAAUCUUAACCCUAAAUCAAAUCCUAACCAAACUCUAAACCCUAAAUUAAUCCCUAACCAAACCCUCGUAAUUCUUACAACAGAUUUAAAUCUCAAUAACUAAUGAAUGAAUCAUCGAUCUUAAUCCAAAUUUUUCACACUUUUUGAAAACUAAAUUAAAAAAAAGCACAAAAAAUUUGAAAAAGAUCGGAAUUACCAAAUAGACAAUAACCUCAAAAAUGUGCUCGGAUAUUGGCUGGCUUCCUUUUCCAACCUUGAUGCCAAUCUCUCAGAGCCAAUAUCUCUCCUUUUCACCGUUCGAUUGAUCUCAAAAUUCUCAUACACAUAGAAAUACAAGUUAAAUAUCUUCUCACAUAAAUUUUAUUCCAAUCCAACCAAUAGAUUGCAAGAAAUCUUAAAAAUUCUCACUGGACCUAAAAUUCUACUUUUUGAGACCUUGACCUUGUUAAACCUCAAUAAUCCUUAAUUCAACCGUUAGAUUGAGCUCAAAUUUAUUAUUCAUAUUGAACACAACUAUAAAUAAUAACUUACAAUAUUUCAGCCAUAGAUCUGUUACAAAACUCUUGAAAUCACCCAAAACGUAAAUCUUAUUUUAUUUCACAAAAUUCAAGUCAUCCAAACCAAACCUUGACUUUGCAAAGCUCUUACAAGGUCAAUAUAGAUCCAAAGCAUCCAAAACCAAUGCUCAUAGAAACCUUAUUCAAUCUUCUAUUAAAUCCUACUCUCCAAUCUACCAAAGAGUCCCGAAGUCGUCGUCAAGACUCAAUUUUGUGCCUCAAGGUCUGAUUUUGAUCCUAGUUCAUAACUAGCCCUCUCCGGGUAUCAAUAUCUAGUUUUUCUAAGAAAAUUUUACUAGAAUUUACUCUUAACUUCCUUCUUAAGAUACUUAUAUUAUUUUUUUUCCAAUCUACAUUGUUUUGCCUUAUUUAUGGCCCUACAAAGUAAGUAGAAGUCACUUUUUUAAAAAGGCAGCAUUACUACUAAAAGUUUUACUACCUCCCUAACUUUUAUCCAUAUUUUUUUAUAUUAUCUUUUAACUUUAUUUUUCUAUAAUAAGAUCCAUAUUAUCAUCUUUUACCAUAUAGUUGUAUUACAACACGAUAAUGAGAAUGCCAUGCCAUGGUUUUUUCUAUUAAAAAGUUUAGACAUUAUCUUUUCUUAAAUCCAGUGGUAUUUUUUAUAGACCACAUGGUAAUCAAGUACCUUGUGAAUAAGGCUGAUUUAAGUAGUAGACUUACAAGAUGGGUGCUUCUACUAGAAGAAUUUGAUUAUAUAGUAGAAUACAAGCCUGAAAAGAUGUAUAAGCAAACAGACCAUUUAUCUAGGUUGUCACAACAAAUUGGUGAAGCCCUAAUUGACGACACCUUAAUACAUGAAACCUUGUUUAUUGUUUCAAUUUCUCCUACUUGAUAUGAAUUAAUUGCCAAAUUUAUGAUAACCUAAGCCUUGCCUUCUCAUCUUUCUAAAAUAGAAUGUAUGAAGGUGAGAAUCAAUAAUAGACACUUUACCAUAAUUGGAGGCAAAUUAUAUAGACGUGGAAUCAACGGGAUGUUAAAGAGGUGUAUCAUGGACAACAAAAUUCCUACCAUUCUAUCAAUAUGUCAUGAUAGUGCAUAUAAGAGAUAUUUUUCAGGGACCUUAACGGGCCAAAAAUCCUUAGAACUAGCUAUUAUUGGCCUAUAUUAUUCUAAGGCAUCUAUAGAUAUACAAAAGCUUAUGAUGCAUGUCAACAAUAUCGUAAUACGUAAAGUCUUGCUUGACAAUGAUCCGGGUACCUAGCUAAGGAAGAUAGAAUAGAAAUUGCAACAAUAAAAUCCUAAUUGUAAUAGAACACUAACAAUACUAAACAAGCCUUAAUCAAAUUCAGAGAAACCUCAAAGGAAUUCCAAAGAAACACUAAGAAAUCUUAAAGAAAUAUUAGAAUGAUUACAAACAUAUCUCAAAUACAUCUCAAUUCAAUCUUAAUUUAAUUCUAAUUGAAAUCUCACUUCAUUCAAACUUUAGGCCAAAAACUAACUAAAUCUUAAAUCCUAAAUAAACUUAGAUAAAAUCCUAAACUCUAAAUCAAUUCUUAAACCCUAACAAAAUCUUAAAUCCUAAACCAAAUCCUAAUCCUAAAUCAAACCCUAGCCAAACCCUAAACUUUAACCCUAAAUCAAAUCUUAAUCAAAUCUUAACCUUAAUCUUAAAUCCUAAAAUAAACCUUAACCAUACUUUAAUUCUAAAUCAAGCCCUAAUCAAAUUCUAAACCCUAAAUCAAAUCCUAAUCCUAAAUCAAAUCCUAACCAAAUUCUAAAUCUAAUCCUAAAUCCAAAACUAAAUCCUAAUCAAACCCUAAUCCUAAAUCAAAUCCUAAUCAAACCUUAAUCCUAAAUCAAAUCCUAACCAAAUCCUAAUCCUAAAUUAAAUCCUAAUCAAAUCCUAAAUCUAAUCUUAAAUCCUAAAUCAAAUCCUAACCAAAUCCUAACCCUAAAUCAAAUCCUAACUAAAUCCUAA
rnacentral:lncRNA from 1 species